rnacentral:lncRNA from 1 species
AAUAAUAAUAAUCAUGUUUCCAUAAAAUUGCUAAGUCCAGAGAUAAUACAUAAACAUAGUAGACUGUUCAUGACACAUAUCACGGUGGACAGUGUUUGUGUCCUUAUUACAAGCAACGAGAGAUGCUCGUCACCAACACGCGCGCGCACAGAUGCACGACAUACAUAUAGUAGAGACCAACAGAUGGUCGUCCCAUAUGGUGAACAAUUUAUUGGGGAUAAAUAUUAACGUAACUUGGCCAUAGCUUGAAGCAUAGCAACAUAUGCCUAUGAGUGGCAUUCAUGCUAUCGUUUUAGGCUUGUCCAGCUCCUUCCAUCUUAGCAAGCACUUCCAUUUCUACCAUCUUAGCAGCAACUGUCAAAUUGAGAUACGGAAAUCCCAUUAGCGCAUGAGUUAAUUUUGCAGUGGAAAUAGAGUACAAGAUGUCUUCAUGAUGUAAGUAAUAUGCCUGAAGUUGUGAGAUGGGAAGUGAAGUCAACAAAUUACAUUAACGGAAAUGCAUGGAAGGCCACACAUACGUAUUAGUCCAUGAUAUGCUACAAAGCUUGUAUGUACAUAUAGCAAAUUAAAUGCAUUAAUUGAAUAGAGUGUGUUUAGUGAAUUUACCAGAAUCGUCCAGAAAACAUGGGAAACAGCAAGUGUUCUUGCAGACUGCGUCGGAGGCACCCGCACGAAUACAAAGCUGACAACAUAGUUUUGCCUGGGCGGAUGCGCAGCAGCCGCACUCCGCCGCGGUGGGGUUAACAUUGAGGCUCAAGAUGACCAGGCACAUGAUCACCAUCAAAGUGGUAGUCCUCUUUCCCUCCAUUGCCUCCUCUUAGCUUGCUGCUACCUUCCUUGGUUACCUAGCUAAGUUUAUUGGUUUUGUGUUGAGAGGUGUGAUUUUUGAAUGGACGUUGCCGGCGGCAAUUUAUAGGCAGCUGAGCUAUGUGAUGAUAUGGACUAGGUGCAAAUGGGUGGUUAAUGGCAAGGAAAGGGGCGUCAGACAAAGCCCAAUGGCAACUGCUGACAUGCGAUUAAAUUCAGAUCCACAUCCGGCCAUUCAAUAAUACGGUUGGAGUUGUGGCACAGAUAUAUUAUUGCAUGAUCAUCAAGAUAAGAUCGUACAGUGACUGAGUGAGACAAUAAAUAGCCAAGUAAACUAUUUUAUCCUGCUGCAAGCUGCAUUCAUAAGUUUAUUUCACCUUUGAUCACAAUACUCUUCACACACGUACGUCUCAGGGAGAUCUCACUUCCGCUGGACUGCUCACUUCCGCUGUCGUCGGUACUGCCAAAGACAUAAGCUCACAUCUGCUAUUGCGGAGCAGGCCAAUUUGCUGCGGAACUUCGGCGACGACCUGAAGGACAUGAACUCGGUGCUGGAGUCCAUCUCAGCAGCGCUCUAGGACGCUGACACCGGUAGAAAAACGACCUUCCAUCGUCAACAAAAAUCCCGGUAGCUUUUUUACUCGGUACUAAAGAGGUUUUAAUCUCGUGCAAACACCUUUAGUCCAGAUUGCUAUUACCACGCAACCCGGACUAAAGCGUCCCCCGCGAGUUAGUAUAUAAGGAUUGCAUCCUUUACUCAGUCAGAUAUAAUAUGUAGGUGAGAUGGUAAGGAAGCUAUGCGUGAGGCUUCAGGUUGUGGGUUCGAAUCCAAGUGGGUGCAGCUGUGGCUUAAGCGGCUGAGGCACGCCGCCAUAGACAUCUCAGAUUUGCUCGAAGACUACCAAGACACUAGUGAACCCUUAACAGUAAAGGUGAGUACUUAUGAAUGUCAGCAUCCAUGUUGUCCAUGCUUCCAAUGUAAUAACAAGAUGGACUACUCUUCCUAGCGGACUCUUCACAACCACUCGUAAAGCUAUGCGUUUCUCAAUGCAAUUUCGUAGAAGCCAAUCGAUCCAACCAAGUGACUAAAUCAUUCGUCCUUUCCAAUGAUGUGCAUCAGGUUUUCUAUAUGAAGGGCAUGUCUAGCAAACCUAAGAUUUCAGAAGAAAAAGAAAAAUCAUUGGAGCCAAAGAGCCACAUAGUUCUUCUAGGAAAAAAAUCAUGGGAGUCGAGAACAUAUCAAACCAAUCAGGGGAUUAUGGUCAGCUUAAUGGCAUGCCUCCAUUCGAUGUCGAAGUUCACCCAAGCAUCAUGUUAGCCAAACAUCAAAUGUUCGUGCGUUGUUACGGUAAAGAUCAAUUGUGUUUUUUAAACUCUUGGAAUUUUUUUAUCUAAGUUUUUAUUUACACUUAUUGGAUGUCUACACAUUUGCUAGAAAACUAAAAUAAUUUGGACUUAAUUAUUUCUUUCAACUGAAGUACUCACUAAAUUUCUACCUUUUUAUUUAAGCAAGAGAGUUGCUAAAAAAAAUGGAUACGUAACCAUGUUGUAUCAUACAAAGUAACCACGUUUCACAUAUAGUCCGGCUUAGCAAACACCAUUGUUUUCUGAACAUAGCGUACAUGAGUUAACAGACAUGGAUUUAUUUCUAUUGCAAGUAGCAUAGCGUACAACCUGCCUGCACCGAUGCAGCUCAAUAUGCGAUAAUUUUUAUCUUCCCAUGUAAUUUUUCUACUCUAGUACAUAUUGAACUCCACAUUAAUGUCAUGUUCUUUCGCGCCCCAGAAGGUUCCUAAAGUUUGGAAACUUAAUAGAUAGCCAGAAUUUUUUUUAAAGAUAUUUAUAUGGAUACUUGUAUGUUCUUUCCAAACUAACAAUAUUGUUUACCAAUAUCAGAAGGAAUAUGGUUAGGAGCCAUUGCCGCAUAUGGCAGGUGAUGGUAGAUGGCGUAUGGGGUUUCGUUAAUUUAAUGGUAUAAUAAGCUGAAAUACAUUUUCUAUUUGCAAAUGAAUCAUAGCUGAAAUUGGUGGGAUUGUUUUUUCGCCGGUUUAGCAUCCUGUGCACCAGUUCAACCGGAGGGAAGCUGUUUUUUUUCUUUGGUUUUCCACCGGUUCACCGAGACCGAUGACAAUUUUAUGGCAGAAUCAUUACUUGUUUUACUAUUAGGUGAAGAUUUUAGCGUUUAGGUAUCUCACAUUAAACGCAACUUCAACAAUCUAUUUCUAGUGUAUAAUGUAGGAGACCCCGUAAAGAGUCUACACACACAUAUAUGUUGACUAUGAAUGUAAGUUUGUUGGUUUUAUGUAUGUUCGUUUGGAGUUUAUAUAAAUUUUACAUUUUAUAGUUUUGUGUAUAUGACGAAGAUCCAUGACUUGCAUUAAUUUAGCCUUUCUUCCAACAACUCUUAUGCAUGCUGUUUCUAGGCGAGCGUACUGGUUGCAAUUUUGGUCCCCGAUAUAGUGUGAGGACUUAAGGGACACGUGCAGGUCGUAACCUUAGAUAUUUUUGCUGAGAAUGGAUGAAGAAGCAAUAAUAUACUUUGCUUCUGAUUUUCUCCAUGUCAUUUGCUUACUCUUAUCCCUUUUAUUUAUCAUUAUAAGAUGAAAAUAUUGUAAAAACUUGGCUACGUGCGGUCGCAGAAGCUAGAGACUAAAGCGUCCCCCACGAGUUACUAUAUAAAAGGAUUGCAUCCUCUACUCAGUCAUAUGUACUGUGUAGGUGAGAUGGUAAGGAAGCUAUGUGUGAGGCUUGAGGUUGUAGGUUCGAAUCCCACGCACCGCGUGCGCAUGCGCAUAUUUUGCGUGAAAAAUCGCAUGACUUGUGGUCGGCCAAGGAGAAGUGCGUGCGGCUGAGGCACGCCGCCAUAGACAUCUCGGAUUUGCUCCAAGACUACCAAGACACUAGCGAACCCUUAACGGCAAAGUUGAGUACUUACGCGUGUUAGCAUCUAUGUUGUCCAUGCUUCCAAUGCAAUAACAAGAAGGGCUACUCAUCCUAGCGGAUUCUUCACAACCACUCGUAAAGCUAUGCGUUUCUCAAUGCAAUUUCGUAGAUGUCAAUCGAUCCAACCAAGCGACUGAAUCAUUCGUCCUUGCUAAUGAUGUGCAUCAGGUUUUCUAUAUGAAGAACAUGUCUAGCAAAUCCAAGAUUUCAGAAGAAAAAUAAAAAUCAUGAGAACCAAAGCACCACGUAGUUCUUCCAGGUAAAAAAAACAAUCAUCCACUGGGAUGACACACAGUAGCGAUCCAAAACGUCCAUAUUAAGACUUUUUGAUAGCAGAAAAAACAUGAAAAUGUCUAAUAUUUGUAGUAUUAAAAGGAAAAAUAAUAUAUUCACUUGACCUUUUUUUCGUAGCAACGCACCGGUGCGUAGUCAGACUUAGGCCACGUUUGGAUACUCCCUACUAAAGUUUAGCACCUGUCACAUAGGAUGUUUGGAUACUAAUUAGGAGUAUUAAACAUAGGCUAAUUAUAAAACUAAUUGAAUAGAUGGAGUCUAAUUUGCGAGACGAAUCUAUUAAGCCUAACUAGUCCAUGAUUUGACAAUGUGGUGCUACAGUAACCAUUUGCUAAUGGUGGAUUAAUUAGGCUUAAUAGAUUCGUCUCGCGAAUUAACAUAGGGUUCUGCAAUUAAUUUUAUAAUUAGCUCAUGUCUAGUCCUUCUAAUUAGCAUCCGAACAUCUGAUAUGAUACUGCUAAAGUUUAUCACCUAGUAUCCAAAUACCCCCUUAAUGCACGAUGCCUGUGCAUCCACUGGGCCUACCCUCGUGGAUCACGCGCUCGUGGAUCACGCGCACCAUGACAUGGCUCAUUAGCUAGUCGUGCUAAUCCUUACCACCAAAUUAAAAACUAGCAUGUGUUGUGUGUUUGUGACCCUAAACGACUACCACCUUCCCGAGUCCACCGGAGUUGCCAGUUCACCACUAAGCUGACUCUCCGAGCUUCAUGUCACUGUCACCGCUCCAAAGACCUAGAUCGGUUCGCUGUGCACCCCGCUUCGUCCUGAGCUAAAUCCCAUCACGAAAGGUGACCGGAUGCUCGUUUUCGAGCGAAUUCUAGCGAGAUUGCCACCACCUUUCCCCUUCCAGCCGAUCGCAGCUGUCUGAUCACAAACCGACAGCCCAGAUCGGAUUUGACCAGGUCAAUACCGGUCAAGCCGAGAUGCAUGCUGCUUUUGCAAGAAGGCCCCUAUUUUUCUCUCGUUUUGCACUUGAGGUCCUACGCAGUUCAAAAGUAAUUAGAUCUAGAUCCUUUUUCUUCUGUUUUAGCCCUGUUCUUUUAUAAAAUCCCACCCGCCAUCCUGUUUGGUAUUUUGACAUGUUAGACCUUCUAUUUAUAUGUUUAAUUAGGUUUUAGCCCUUGGUUUCUUUAAGUUUAGCUCUUGGAAGUUUAGUUUUCUCGCAGUUAAGCCCCUGAACCUUGUUUAGUUCAUAUCUUUAGCGUUUUAAAUCCGUUUUAAGAGAUUCUUACGCCCAUAAGUUCGUGUUGAUGCAUAGAUUAGUUGACUUAUACGGACCUUGCUGAUUCAGCUCCUUCAUUGUGCUUCAGAUCUCGCUAGUGAAGAAUAAUGGAUGGGCUUUGGUUGAGCUUGUAGAUCGACCUGCAGUUGCAGUGAAUGUGCUGAGGACUGGCGGUACCAAUAAUGGGAGGCCGCUGCUCUGCUUGCUACCAAGGCCUGCGACGCUUGGACGCCAUUCAGAGUGCAUAAUUUCCAAGGAUCUCAAGGGCUCCACACCACGUUCCAAGUGUUUUUUCUUUGCCGAGUGUUUUUAGCUCGGCACUUGGCAAAGAGCUUGUUUGCCGAGUGUCCGAAAAAAACACUUGGCAAAGAGAAAACACUCGGCAAAUUUGAUGUUUCCCGUAGUGAUGUACUAUUCAAACUUGAACUGGGAUGCAGGCUUCAGUACCAAAGAGAGCUCUGGGCGCGGGUGAGCAGUGAGCUGGCCGGGCAGGGAGCUCCAAAGCGACAGCAACAAAGAGAGAAAUGCUAAGAGUAAGAACGACACACGAGGUCACUUCACAUAGAUAAUAGCAGUACGAACCAUACAAUAUCCUCUCUCAGUUUCACUCCGCCUCACACACGGCUAGCACACCAUGCAUGCCGAUUUCAUAUUAUUAAUAUUAUUUUUUGGAUGGUUGUUGAAACUAUAUAUAUAGUUAGUCCAAUCUCACGUUUCCGAUUAUAAAAAUCAACGUAAAGAGAUCGGUAGGGAGAGCCGGCAUAAUGAAGCCGACGCGUGUAAUAAGCACCAGAGCCGGCAUUUAUACAAACUGGUACGAAUAGUAAAAAACUAGAAUUUAUAAAUAAAAAAAUGAUUUGCACAUCUAUGCAAUAAUUAGGGGUUAGUGGCAGGUCUAGAGAGAUAUCUCAUCAUUAUAUCCGGUUUAACGAGGAUAAAAAAGAGUGUAUUUUCCACUCAUCAUGUUGUCUUUUCGCAGCGGUACCACUUUUCGUGUGUUGUAUCGGUCCCCUAAUACGGAGUCUCCGAGGCCCGAGAAAAUAAGGAAAGUGAUAGUAGCCCAGAAAUCGGCCAAGUUUCUUUCCCCUUUGGCUUUCCUACUAGGAUUCAGAAUCCUCUUUCGCAUGACAAUCUUAAUUAUCUCCCAUACUCCAAAACUCACAAAAACAUCAAGAGUCCGCUGAGAAUAAAUUUAAGUAAAAAACAUGCACACACAGAUAAUAAUAAUAAUCAUGUUUCCAUAAAAUUGCUAAGUCCAGAGAUAAUACAUAAACAUAGUAGACUGUUCAUGACACAUAUCACGGUGGACAGUGUUUGUGUCCUUAUUACAAGCAACGAGAGAUGCUCGUCACCAACACGCGCGCGCACAGAUGCACGACAUACAUAUAGUAGAGACCAACAGAUGGUCGUCCCAUAUGGUGAACAAUUUAUUGGAGAUAAAUAUUAACGUAACUUGGCCAUAGCUUGAAGCAUAGCAACAUAUGCCUAUGAGUGGCAUUCAUGCUAUCGUUUUAGGCUUGUCCAGCUCCUUCCAUCUUAGCAAGCACUUCCAUUUCUACCAUCUUAGCAGCAACUGUCAAAUUGAGAUACGGAAAUCCCAUUAGCGCAUGAGUUAAUUUUGCAGUGGAAAUAGAGUACAAGAUGUCUUCAUGAUGUAAGUAAUAUGCCUGAAGUUGUGAGAUGGGAAGUGAAGUCAACAAAUUACAUUAACGGAAAUGCAUGGAAGGCCACACAUACGUAUUAGUCCAUGAUAUGCUACAAAGCUUGUAUGUACAUAUAGCAAAUUAAAUGCAUUAAUUGAAUAGAGUGUGUUUAGUGAAUUUACCAGAAUCGUCCAGAAAACAUGGGAAACAGCAAGUGUUCUUGCAGACUGCGUCGGAGGCACCCGCACGAAUACAAAGCUGACAACAUAGUUUUGCCUGGGCGGAUGCGCAGCAGCCGCACUCCGCCGCGGUGGGGUUAACAUUGAGGCUCAAGAUGACCAGGCACAUGAUCACCAUCAAAGUGGUAGUCCUCUUUCCCUCCAUUGCCUCCUCUUAGCUUGCUGCUACCUUCCUUGGUUACCUAGCUAAGUUUAUUGGUUUUGUGUUGAGAGGUGUGAUUCUUGAAUGGACGUUGCCGGCGGCAAUUUAUAGGCAGCUGAGCUAUGUGAUGAUAUGGACUAGGUGCAAAUGGGUGGUUAAUGGCAAGGAAAGGGGCGUCAGACAAAGCCCAAUGGCAACUGCUGACAUGCGAUUAAAUUCAGAUCCACAUCCGGCCAUUCAAUAAUACGGUUGGAGUUGUGGCACAGAUAUAUUAUUGCAUGAUCAUCAAGAUAAGAUCGUACAGUGACUGAGUGAGACAAUAAAUAGCCAAGUAAACUAUUUUAUCCUGCUGCAAGCUGCAUUCAUAAGUUUAUUUCACCUUUGAUCACAAUACUCUUCACACACGUACGUCUCAGGGAGAUCUCACUUCCGCUGGACUGCUCACUUCCGCUGUCGUCGGUACUGCCAAAGACAUAAGCUCACAUCUGCUAUUGCGGAGCAGGCCAAUUUGCUGCGGAACUUCGGCGACGACCUGAAGGACAUGAACUCGGUGCUGGAGUCCAUCUCAGCAGCGCUCUAGGACGCUGACACCGGUAGAAAAACGACCUUCCAUCGUCAACAAAAAUCCCGGUAGCUUUUUUACUCGGUACUAAAGAGGUUUUAAUCUCGUGCAAACACCUUUAGUCCAGAUUGCUAUUACCACGCAACCCGGACUAAAGCGUCCCCCGCGAGUUAGUAUAUAAGGAUUGCAUCCUUUACUCAGUCAGAUAUAAUAUGUAGGUGAGAUGGUAAGGAAGCUAUGCGUGAGGCUUCAGGUUGUGGGUUCGAAUCCAAGUGGGUGCAGCUGUGGCUUAAGCGGCUGAGGCACGCCGCCAUAGACAUCUCAGAUUUGCUCGAAGACUACCAAGACACUAGUGAACCCUUAACAGUAAAGGUGAGUACUUAUGAAUGUCAGCAUCCAUGUUGUCCAUGCUUCCAAUGUAAUAACAAGAUGGACUACUCUUCCUAGCGGACUCUUCACAACCACUCGUAAAGCUAUGCGUUUCUCAAUGCAAUUUCGUAGAAGCCAAUCGAUCCAACCAAGUGACUAAAUCAUUCGUCCUUUCCAAUGAUGUGCAUCAGGUUUUCUAUAUGAAGGGCAUGUCUAGCAAACCUAAGAUUUCAGAAGAAAAAGAAAAAUCAUUGGAGCCAAAGAGCCACAUAGUUCUUCUAGGAAAAAAAUCAUGGGAGUCGAGAACAUAUCAAACCAAUCAGGGGAUUAUGGUCAGCUUAAUGGCAUGCCUCCAUUCGAUGUCGAAGUUCACCCAAGCAUCAUGUUAGCCAAACAUCAAAUGUUCGUGCGUUGUUACGGUAAAGAUCAAUUGUGUUUUUUAAACUCUUGGAAUUUUUUUAUCUAAGUUUUUAUUUACACUUAUUGGAUGUCUACACAUUUGCUAGAAAACUAAAAUAAUUUGGACUUAAUUAUUUCUUUCAACUGAAGUACUCACUAAAUUUCUACCUUUUUAUUUAAGCAAGAGAGUUGCUAAAAAAAAUGGAUACGUAACCAUGUUGUAUCAUACAAAGUAACCACGUUUCACAUAUAGUCCGGCUUAGCAAACACCAUUGUUUUCUGAACAUAGCGUACAUGAGUUAACAGACAUGGAUUUAUUUCUAUUGCAAGUAGCAUAGCGUACAACCUGCCUGCACCGAUGCAGCUCAAUAUGCGAUAAUUUUUAUCUUCCCAUGUAAUUUUUCUACUCUAGUACAUAUUGAACUCCACAUUAAUGUCAUGUUCUUUCGCGCCCCAGAAGGUUCCUAAAGUUUGGAAACUUAAUAGAUAGCCAGAAUUUUUUUUAAAGAUAUUUAUAUGGAUACUUGUAUGUUCUUUCCAAACUAACAAUAUUGUUUACCAAUAUCAGAAGGAAUAUGGUUAGGAGCCAUUGCCGCAUAUGGCAGGUGAUGGUAGAUGGCGUAUGGGGUUUCGUUAAUUUAAUGGUAUAAUAAGCUGAAAUACAUUUUCUAUUUGCAAAUGAAUCAUAGCUGAAAUUGGUGGGAUUGUUUUUUCGCCGGUUUAGCAUCCUGUGCACCAGUUCAACCGGAGGGAAGCUGUUUUUUUUCUUUGGUUUUCCACCGGUUCACCGAGACCGAUGACAAUUUUAUGGCAGAAUCAUUACUUGUUUUACUAUUAGGUGAAGAUUUUAGCGUUUAGGUAUCUCACAUUAAACGCAACUUCAACAAUCUAUUUCUAGUGUAUAAUGUAGGAGACCCCGUAAAGAGUCUACACACACAUAUAUGUUGACUAUGAAUGUAAGUUUGUUGGUUUUAUGUAUGUUCGUUUGGAGUUUAUAUAAAUUUUACAUUUUAUAGUUUUGUGUAUAUGACGAAGAUCCAUGACUUGCAUUAAUUUAGCCUUUCUUCCAACAACUCUUAUGCAUGAUGUUUCUAGGCGAGCGUACUGGUUGCAAUUUUGGUCCCCGAUAUAGUGUGAGGACUUAAGGGACACGUGCAGGUCGUAACCUUAGAUAUUUUUGCUGAGAAUGGAUGAAGAAGCAAUAAUAUACUUUGCUUCUGAUUUUCUCCAUGUCAUUUGCUUACUCUUAUCCCUUUUAUUUAUCAUUAUAAGAUGAAAAUAUUGUAAAAACUUGGCUACGUGCGGUCGCAGAAGCUAGAGACUAAAGCGUCCCCCACGAGUUACUAUAUAAAAGGAUUGCAUCCUCUACUCAGUCAUAUGUACUGUGUAGGUGAGAUGGUAAGGAAGCUAUGUGUGAGGCUUGAGGUUGUAGGUUCGAAUCCCACGCACCGCGUGCGCAUGCGCAUAUUUUGCGUGAAAAAUCGCAUGACUUGUGGUCGGCCAAGGAGAAGUGCGUGCGGCUGAGGCACGCCGCCAUAGACAUCUCGGAUUUGCUCCAAGACUACCAAGACACUAGCGAACCCUUAACGGCAAAGUUGAGUACUUACGCGUGUUAGCAUCUAUGUUGUCCAUGCUUCCAAUGCAAUAACAAGAAGGGCUACUCAUCCUAGCGGAUUCUUCACAACCACUCGUAAAGCUAUGCGUUUCUCAAUGCAAUUUCGUAGAUGUCAAUCGAUCCAACCAAGCGACUGAAUCAUUCGUCCUUGCUAAUGAUGUGCAUCAGGUUUUCUAUAUGAAGAACAUGUCUAGCAAAUCCAAGAUUUCAGAAGAAAAAUAAAAAUCAUGAGAACCAAAGCACCACGUAGUUCUUCCAGGUAAAAAAAACAAUCAUCCACUGGGAUGACACACAGUAGCGAUCCAAAACGUCCAUAUUAAGACUUUUUGAUAGCAGAAAAAACAUGAAAAUGUCUAAUAUUUGUAGUAUUAAAAGGAAAAAUAAUAUAUUCACUUGACCUUUUUUUCGUAGCAACGCACCGGUGCGUAGUCAGACUUAGGCCACGUUUGGAUACUCCCUACUAAAGUUUAGCACCUGUCACAUAGGAUGUUUGGAUACUAAUUAGGAGUAUUAAACAUAGGCUAAUUAUAAAACUAAUUGAACAGAUGGAGUCUAAUUUGCGAGACGAAUCUAUUAAGCCUAACUAGUCCAUGAUUUGACAAUGUGGUGCUACAGUAACCAUUUGCUAAUGGUGGAUUAAUUAGGCUUAAUAGAUUCGUCUCGCGAAUUAACAUAGGGUUCUGCAAUUAAUUUUAUAAUUAGCUCAUGUCUAGUCCUUCUAAUUAGCAUCCGAACAUCUGAUAUGAUACUGCUAAAGUUUAUCACCUAGUAUCCAAAUACCCCCUUAAUGCACGAUGCCUGUGCAUCCACUGGGCCUACCCUCGUGGAUCACGCGCUCGUGGAUCACGCGCACCAUGACAUGGCUCAUUAGCUAGUCGUGCUAAUCCUUACCACCAAAUUAAAAACUAGCAUGUGUUGUGUGUUUGUGACCCUAAACGACUACCACCUUCCCGAGUCCACCGGAGUUGCCAGUUCACCACUAAGCUGACUCUCCGAGCUUCAUGUCACUGUCACCGCUCCAAAGACCUAGAUCGGUUCGCUGUGCACCCCGCUUCGUCCUGAGCUAAAUCCCAUCACGAAAGGUGACCGGAUGCUCGUUUUCGAGCGAAUUCUAGCGAGAUUGCCACCACCUUUCCCCUUCCAGCCGAUCGCAGCUGUCUGAUCACAAACCGACAGCCCAGAUCGGAUUUGACCAGGUCAAUACCGGUCAAGCCGAGAUGCAUGCUGCUUUUGCAAGAAGGCCCCUAUUUUUCUCUCUUUUUGCACUUGAGGUCCUACGCAGUUCAAAAGUAAUUAGAUCUAGAUCCUUUUUCUUCUGUUUUAGCCCUGUUCUUUUAUAAAAUCCCACCCGCCAUCCUGUUUGGUAUUUUGACAUGUUAGACCUUCUAUUUAUAUGUUUAAUUAGGUUUUAGCCCUUGGUUUCUUUAAGUUUAGCUCUUGGAAGUUUAGUUUUCUCGCAGUUAAGCCCCUGAACCUUGUUUAGUUCAUAUCUUUAGCGUUUUAAAUCCGUUUUAAGAGAUUCUUACGCCCAUAAGUUCGUGUUGAUGCAUAGAUUAGUUGACUUAUACGGACCUUGCUGAUUCAGCUCCUUCAUUGUGCUUCAGAUCUCGCUAGUGAAGAAUAAUGGAUGGGCUUUGGUUGAGCUUGUAGAUCGACCUGCAGUUGCAGUGAAUGUGCUGAGGACUGGCGGUACCAAUAAUGGGAGGCCGCUGCUCUGCUUGCUACCAAGGCCUGCGACGCUUGGACGCCAUUCAGAGUGCAUAAUUUCCAAGGAUCUCAAGGGCUCCACACCACGUUCCAAGUGUUUUUUCUUUGCCGAGUGUUUUUAGCUCGGCACUUGGCAAAGAGCUUGUUUGCCGAGUGUCCGAAAAAAACACUUGGCAAAGAGAAAACACUCGGCAAAUUUGAUGUUUCCCGUAGUGAUGUACUAUUCAAACUUGAACUGGGAUGCAGGCUUCAGUACCAAAGAGAGCUCUGGGCGCGGGUGAGCAGUGAGCUGGCCGGGCAGGGAGCUCCAAAGCGACAGCAACAAAGAGAGAAAUGCUAAGAGUAAGAACGACACACGAGGUCACUUCACAUAGAUAAUAGCAGUACGAACCAUACAAUAUCCUCUCUCAGUUUCACUCCGCCUCACACACGGCUAGCACACCAUGCAUGCCGAUUUCAUAUUAUUAAUAUUAUUUUUUGGAUGGUUGUUGAAACUAUAUAUAUAGUUAGUCCAAUCUCACGUUUCCGAUUAUAAAAAUCAACGUAAAGAGAUCGGUAGGGAGAGCCGGCAUAAUGAAGCCGACGCGUGUAAUAAGCACCAGAGCCGGCAUUUAUACAAACUGGUACGAAUAGUAAAAAACUAGAAUUUAUAAAUAAAAAAAUGAUUUGCACAUCUAUGCAAUAAUUAGGGGUUAGUGGCAGGUCUAGAGAGAUAUCUCAUCAUUAUAUCCGGUUUAACGAGGAUAAAAAAGAGUGUAUUUUCCACUCAUCAUGUUGUCUUUUCGCAGCGGUACCACUUUUCGUGUGUUGUAUCGGUCCCCUAAUACGGAGUCUCCGAGGCCCGAGAAAAUAAGGAAAGUGAUAGUAGCCCAGAAAUCGGCCAAGUUUCUUUCCCCUUUGGCUUUCCUACUAGGAUUCAGAAUCCUCUUUCGCAUGACAAUCUUAAUUAUCUCCCAUACUCCAAAACUCACAAAAACAUCAAGAGUCCGCUGAGAAUAAAUUUAAGUAAAAAACAUGCACACACAGAUAAUAAUAAUAAUCAUGUUUCCAUAAAAUUGCUAAGUCCAGAGAUAAUACAUAAACAUAGUAGACUGUUCAUGACACAUAUCACGGUGGACAGUGUUUGUGUCCUUAUUACAAGCAACGAGAGAUGCUCGUCACCAACACGCGCGCGCACAGAUGCACGACAUACAUAUAGUAGAGACCAACAGAUGGUCGUCCCAUAUGGUGAACAAUUUAUUGGAGAUAAAUAUUAACGUAACUUGGCCAUAGCUUGAAGCAUAGCAACAUAUGCCUAUGAGUGGCAUUCAUGCUAUCGUUUUAGGCUUGUCCAGCUCCUUCCAUCUUAGCAAGCACUUCCAUUUCUACCAUCUUAGCAGCAACUGUCAAAUUGAGAUACGGAAAUCCCAUUAGCGCAUGAGUUAAUUUUGCAGUGGAAAUAGAGUACAAGAUGUCUUCAUGAUGUAAGUAAUAUGCCUGAAGUUGUGAGAUGGGAAGUGAAGUCAACAAAUUACAUUAACGGAAAUGCAUGGAAGGCCACACAUACGUAUUAGUCCAUGAUAUGCUACAAAGCUUGUAUGUACAUAUAGCAAAUUAAAUGCAUUAAUUGAAUAGAGUGUGUUUAGUGAAUUUACCAGAAUCGUCCAGAAAACAUGGGAAACAGCAAGUGUUCUUGCAGACUGCGUCGGAGGCACCCGCACGAAUACAAAGCUGACAACAUAGUUUUGCCUGGGCGGAUGCGCAGCAGCCGCACUCCGCCGCGGUGGGGUUAACAUUGAGGCUCAAGAUGACCAGGCACAUGAUCACCAUCAAAGUGGUAGUCCUCUUUCCCUCCAUUGCCUCCUCUUAGCUUGCUGCUACCUUCCUUGGUUACCUAGCUAAGUUUAUUGGUUUUGUGUUGAGAGGUGUGAUUCUUGAAUGGACGUUGCCGGCGGCAAUUUAUAGGCAGCUGAGCUAUGUGAUGAUAUGGACUAGGUGCAAAUGGGUGGUUAAUGGCAAGGAAAGGGGCGUCAGACAAAGCCCAAUGGCAACUGCUGACAUGCGAUUAAAUUCAGAUCCACAUCCGGCCAUUCAAUAAUACGGUUGGAGUUGUGGCACAGAUAUAUUAUUGCAUGAUCAUCAAGAUAAGAUCGUACAGUGACUGAGUGAGACAAUAAAUAGCCAAGUAAACUAUUUUAUCCUGCUGCAAGCUGCAUUCAUAAGUUUAUUUCACCUUUGAUCACAAUACUCUUCACACACGUACGUCUCAGGGAGAUCUCACUUCCGCUGGACUGCUCACUUCCGCUGUCGUCGGUACUGCCAAAGACAUAAGCUCACAUCUGCUAUUGCGGAGCAGGCCAAUUUGCUGCGGAACUUCGGCGACGACCUGAAGGACAUGAACUCGGUGCUGGAGUCCAUCUCAGCAGCGCUCUAGGACGCUGACACCGGUAGAAAAACGACCUUCCAUCGUCAACAAAAAUCCCGGUAGCUUUUUUACUCGGUACUAAAGAGGUUUUAAUCUCGUGCAAACACCUUUAGUCCGGAUUGCUGUUACCACGCAACCCGAACUAAAGCGUCCCCCACGAGUUACUAUAUAAGGAUUGCAUCCUUUACUCAGUCAGAUAUAAUGUGUAGGUGAGAUGGUAAGGAAGCUAUACGUGAGGCUUCAGGUUGUGGGUUCGAAUCCAAGGAGAAGUGGGUGCAGCUGUGGCUUAAGCGGCUGAGGCACGCCGCCAUAGACAUCUCAGAUUUGCUCGAAGACUACCAAGACACUAGUGAACCCUUAACAGUAAAGGUGAGUACUUAUGAAUGUCAGCAUCCAUGUUGUCCAUGCUUCCAAUGUAAUAACAAGAUGGACUACUCUUCCUAGCGGACUCUUCACAACCACUCGUAAAGCUAUACGUUUCUCAAUGCAAUUUCGUAGAAGCCAAUCGAUCCAACCAAGUGACUAAAUCAUUCAUCCUUUCCAAUGAUGUGCAUCAGGUUUUCUACAUGAAGGGCAUCUCUAGCAAACCCAAGAUUUCAGAAGAAAAAGAAAAAUCAUUGGAGCCAAAGAGCCACAUAGUUCUUCCAGGAAAAAAAAAUCAUGGGAGUCGAGAACAAAUCAAACCAAUCAGAGGAUUAUGGUCAGCUUAAUGGCAUGCCUCCAUUCGAUGUCGAAGUUCACCCAAGCAUCAUGUUAGCCAAACAUCAAAUGUUCGUGCGUUGUUACGGUAAAGAUCAAUUGUGUUUUUUAAACUCAUGGAAUUUUUUUUCUAAGUUUUUAUUACACUUAUUGGAUGUCUACACAUUUGCUAGAAAACCAAAAUAAUUUGGACUUAAUUAUUUCUUUCAACUGAAGUACUCACUAAAUUUCUACCUUUUUAUUUAAGCAAGAGAGUUGCUAAAAAAAAUGGAUACAUAACCAUGUUGUAUCGUACAAAGCAACCACAUUUCACAUAUAGUCCGGCUUACCAAACACCAUUUUUUACUGAACAUAGCGUACAUGAGUUAAGAGACAUGGAUUUAUUUCUAUUGCAAGUAGCAUAGCGUACAACCUGCCUGCACCGAUGCAGCUCAAUAUGCGAUAAUUUUUAUCUUCCCAUGUAAUUUUUCUACUCUAGUACAUAUUGAACUCCACAUUAAUGUCAUGUUCUUUGGCGCCCCAGACGGUUCCUAAAGUUUGGAAACAAAAUAGAUAGCCAGAAAUUUUUUUAAAAAAUAUUUAUAUGGAUAUUUGUAUGUUCUUUGCAAACUAACAAUAUUGUUUACCAAUAUCAAAAGGAAUAUGGCUAGGAGCCAUUGCCGCAUAUGGCAGGUGAUGGUAGAUGGCGUAUGGGAUUUCGUUAAUUUAAUGGUAUAAUAAGCUGAAAUACAUUUUCUAUUUGCAAAUGAAUCAUAGCUGAAAGUGGUGAGAUUGUUUUUUCGCCGGUUUAGCAUCCUGUGCACCGGUUCAACUGGAGGGAAGCGGUUCACCGAGACGGAUGACAAUUUUACGGCAGAAUCAUUACUUGUUUUAUUAUUAGGUGAAGAUUUUAGCUUUUAGGUAUCUCACAUUAACAAUCUGUUUCUAGUGUAUAAUGUAGGAGACCCGUAAAGAGUCUACACACACAUAUAUAUGUUGACUAUGAAUGUAAGUUUGUUGGUUUUAUGUAUGUUCAUUUGGAGUUUAUAUAAAUUUUACAUUUUAUAGUUUUGUGUAUAUGACGAAGAUCCAUGACUUGCAUUAAUUUAACCUUUCUUCCAACAACUCUUAUGCAUGCUGUUUCUAGGGGAGCGCACUGGUUGCAAUUUUGGUCCCCGAUAUAGCAUGAGGACUUAAGGGAGACGGGCACGUCGUAACCUUAGAUAUUUUUGCAAGAAGCAAAUUAUACUUUGCUUUUGAUUUUCUCCAUGCCAUUUGCUGACUCUUAUCCCUUUUAUUUAUCAUUAUAAGAUGAAAAUAUUGUAAAAACUUGGUUACGUGCGGUCGCAGAAGCUAGAGACUAUUUCUUUUUUUAAAAAUACGCAAGAGGGAGAAACUUGGUAACAGCUAGACAGUGAAGAUCGCAUUUCAUAAGAAAGAUGGUGCACGUUCUUGUUUGGCUGUUAACGAAAUGACUUCGUUUCACCACACCACCAGAGAGCCCCAUUGCACUUGCAGCAAAAGCGUGGAGCCGCUUUCAACCAGCGUGCAAUAAUGCAGUCCCGCGUGUCUUGGUCUUACAGGAUAUUUGGUUCUUUAGUCCGGACUAAAAUUCAUGUCGCAUAGAAUAUUCAGAUGUUAAAUAGGAGGACUAAACAUGAGCUAAUUAUAAAAAUAAUUACACAAAUGGAGGCUAAUUCCCAAGACAAAUCUAUUAAGUCUAAUUAAUCCAUCAUUAGCACAUGUUUACCGUAGCACCGUAUUGUCAAAUCAUGGACUAAUUAGGCUUAAUAAAUUCGUCUCGCAAGUUAGUCUCCAUCUAUACAAUUUGUUUUAUAAUUAGUCAAUGUUUAAUACUCUAUCUAAACAUUCAAUGUGACUGAAAUUUUAGGAGGUCCUAAAGAACCAAACACCCCUUAGUCUCCGCCUGAACUAUAGCAGGUGCUGGCAGCGGUAGCAGGGUCGUCCAUUAUAUCUAUGGAUGGAAAUGAUCUGAUUCGGAUGGAAUCGAAUUCGAAUAGCACUUUUUACCACAUACUAAUCUGAAUUGGAUGUUCUCGAAUGUGAAUGCAAAACGGAUAGUUCAAAUUUGAAUACUUUGCGGAUUUUUGCAUAAUAUUAAUCGAAGAGAAUUUGUUAAAUUUAGCCGAGACAUAAAUUUUUCUAAAUUCAAAUACUUUGCAGAUUUUCGAAUGCAAAUUUUUUCAUACGAUCUCGGUUGAAUACAAACUUUAUAUCAAAGUUGUAUAUUUAGAUUAUAUAUAAAACUUUGUAGUUGACCUCCUUUUCAUUUAAAAUUUUUUAAUAGCUCAAAACAUUAUUCUAAGCUUUCUAAUUUCAAAAUCUUGAAUUUUAAAUUUUUCAAACGACCUCGGAUGCAAACAAGCUCUAUAUCAAAGUGCUUAAUGAGAUAUAAAAUUUUGUAGUUGACAAGUUUUUUAGUUGAAAACAUUUAGUUAUCACAAACAUACAAGUUCUUCAUUUGAUGUCGAGGAUUGGAAGUGUUGAGUUUGAAGAAUAUAUUCUUUGAUUACAAACUUUUCCAUAUGAUCUUGGAUGAAUACGAACUUUAUUUCAAAGUUGCAAAUUUAGAUUAGACCAAAAACAGUAUAGUUUACAAUUUUUUCAUUCAAAAUUAUUUAGUAGCUCAAAAUGUUAUUCUAAACUCUCUAAUUUUGAAAUCUUGAAUUUUAAAAUUUUCAAAUGACCUCGGAUGCAAACAAGCUCUAUAUCGAAGUGGUAGUUCUUAAUGAGAUAUAAAAUUUUGUAGUUCCAUCUGAGAUCAUUUAACAGUCACAAAUAUACAAGUUUUUCAUAUGAUGCUAAGGAUCAGAAAGAUUAAGUUUGAAGGCUGUAUUUUUUUAAUACAAAUUUUUGCAUACGAUCUCGGAUGAAUACAAACUUUAUAUCAAAAUUGUAGAGCUCGAUGAGAAUUUAAACUUUGUAGUUGAUAUAUUUUUCAUUCGAGAAUGUUUAGUGGUCCAAACAUGUAUUAUAAGUUCAGAGAAGAAACACACAAUCGGCCACGUCAUCAAUUGACAACUUCCAAACUGAGCAUUCCUAUUGGUUCACACCUUUCCCUUUCAACUCGUCAAGCUUAUCUCCUCCCACUCCUCCAUCGUUCACUCCCCCUUCCCCUUCCUCUCUCCCUCCCUCCCUCCGCUCCAGCAGUGGCAGCCCGACCUGCCUCCUAGGACGGUGGUGUGCGGGGCUCGGGCAUCCCUGGCCUCUAGUGGCGUGGCAGGGCGGCCUCCAGCAGCGAUGGCGGAACUCGGCCUCCGGUGGCGCACAGGCAGCGCAGCCUACCUGGUCAAAGGCGGCGCAACAGGGCGACCUCCCCAGCCUCCGGCGGCGCGCAGGGCAUCCAUGACCUCCCCGGCCUCCCUUGCCAGAGGUGGUGCGCGGGGCUGCGCCGACCUCCCCAACCAGAGGUGGCAAGGCCCCAGCUUACGGCGGCGCGUGGCUCCCCAGCUAGGGUGUGGUGGGGCGGCGGCAAGUCAGGCGUGGCCGCGUGGGGGUGGGGGGAGGGGGUUGGGCUGGGCGGAUUCAGAUAGUAUCCAUUUAACCAUCCGAAAUGUGGAUAUCCGUUUAACAAUCCGUUUAGCAAAACCGAAUUUGGAUACUUCCACUUAAGUAUCCAACUAGGAUUCGAAUGCGGAUGGUCCUACCAUAUUGUUAUUUCAGCGGAUACGAAUAUGGGAUAAUUCGAAUAACGACUUACCCAUCCCUGAUUAUAUCCGUGUAAAUAAAUAAUUGCGGCAGCAGGUUCCCGUCGCCACGCCCCCGUCAAACCAAACAAUUGCUUGCGCGACACCGUGUUACUAGAUCUUGUACAGUACUCCCUCCGUUGCAGUACUCCCUAAUGAAAGUUGAGAAUCGAUCGACAACCACGGCUAGUUGCUAUGCACUCGAUCAGAUGGUCCAGGCGCCCGCUGGUAAUCAGGUCGUGGUUCACGCGCAUCAGGCCAGCUAUGACGUUGCCAGCAGUGCUCAGUACACAAAUCUAGCUAUCAGUCGGAUCCAAUUGGGCAGGCAUUUGCACUGUGGUUGUGUUUGAACCUGUAGAUGUCGUUGUCAUUAUCAGGCACCAUACAUCCUCUCUCAGAGGGUGUUUCACCCCCUAAACUUUAGCCCCUCUCACAUCGAAUGUUUUAGAUACUAAUUAGGAAUAUUAAACAUAGAAAAUUUACUAAACCCAUUACAUGGAUGGAGGGUAAACGGCGAGACAAAUCUAUUAAAUCUAAUUAGUCCAUGAUUUGACAAUGUGCUGCUAUAGUAACUAUUUGCUAAUGAUGGAUUAAUUAGACUUAAUAGAUUUUUCUUGCUGUUUAGCCUCCGUCUGUGCAAUUAGUUUUAUAAUUAAUUCAUAUUUAGUCCUCCUAAUUAGUCUCCGAAUAUUUGAUGUGACACGGACUAAACUUUAGAUAGCACACCAGGGACCGACACCAUGCAUGCUGAUUUCAUAUCAUAAUUAAGGAAAGUGAUAUCAUAAUUAAGGAAAGUGGUAGCAUCCAAGAAAUCGAUCAUGUUUCUUCCCCCUUUGGCUUUCCUACUAGGAUUUGGAUAGCGGGCCUUCCUACUAGGAUUUGGAAUCCGCUAUCGCAUGACUAUCUUAAUUAUGUCCCAUAGUCCAAAACUCACAAAACAUCAAAAAUCCAUCGAGAAUAAAUUAAGUAAAAAACAUGCGCACACAGAUAAUAAUAAUAAUAAUCAUGUUUCAAUAAAAUUGCUAAGAUUAGAGAUAGUACAUAAACAUAUUAGAUUGUUCGUGACACAUAUCAUGGUGGAUAGUGUCUGUGUCCUUAUUACAAGCAGCGAUAGAUGCUUGUCACCACACACACGCACGCACAGAUGCACGACAUACAUAUAGUUGAGACCAACGGAUGGACGUCCCAUAGGGUGAAUAAUUUAUUGGAGAUAAAUAUUAACAUAACUUGGCCAUAGCUUGAAGCAUAGCAACAUAUGCUUAUGAAUGGCAUUCAUGCGGGUAGCAAUGCUAUCAUAUGCUUUUAGGCUUGUCCUUAGCUUCUUCCAUCUUAUAGCAAACACUGCCAUUUCUUCCAUCUUAGCAGCAACUGUCAAAUUAAUUGAGAUAUGGAAAUCCCAUUAGCGCAUGAGUUAAUUUUGCAGUGGAAAUAGAGUAGAAGAUGUCUUCAUAAUGUAAGUAAUAUGACUCUGACAUAGGGAGUGAAGUCAACAAAUUACAUUAACGGAAAUGCAUGGAAGGCCACGCAUAUGUAUUAGUCCGAUAUGCUACAAAGCUUGUAUGUACAUAUAAUAAAUUAAAUGCAUUGAAUAGAGUGAUUUUAGUGAAUUUACCUAAAUCGGAUUAAAAAACAUGGGAAACAACAAGUGUUCUUGUAGGGCUUUGUUUAGUUCCCAAAUUGGGAGUAGCAAAGUUUGCAUUUUACCAUAAAUGCGCAACUAUAGCAUGUAGCAUUUUGUUUGUAUUUGUGAAUUAUUAUCCAAACAUUGACUAAUUAGGCUCAAAAGAUUCAUCUCGCAAAGUACAACAAAACUGUGCAAUUAGUUUUUGAUUUCGUCUACAUUUAGUACUCCGUGCAUGUACCGCAAGUUUGAUGUGAUGGGGAAUCUUGCUUUUCAAUAGUGACAAAGUUGGGAUUUCGGGGGGAAGGCCUGUGUCGGAGCCACAUGCAAGAAUGGCUGACAUUGAGGCUCAGACAAAGCCCAAUGGCAACUGCUGACAUGCGAUUAAAUUUAGAUAUCCACAUCCAGCCAUUCACAUUUAUGAGAUAUGGACACGGUGCAAAUGGGUGGGGUCCUGAUAUGGAGGUGCGAAUGGCUGUCUACUUGUAUAGUGUAGCUCCAAUGUACGUAUAUGUAUCUUAUGCAUGUAUACAGUUGCACAAACUCUGAACCAACUCUUCAUAACAGGUCUUUGUUACCAAGUAACUUUACUUUUGCACGUUUCAGCCGAGAGGUAGAAGAGAAUAUUUUUGCAUUUUCCAUGUGCGUCAGUGGUAGAGAACUAGGAAUUAGUUCCGGAUGGUAGGGCACAAAUCUUCCAAACAACUAUCCGAAAUUAAGCAAUCGAGAUAAAGGGUGCCAUCUAUUCUCUCCGAAAAACACAGGUACCAAAAAGAAGAAGAGAAGAGGGAGGGCCUCCCGUUAAGGCCCGCUCGGGGUCUCCAUCCCACCACGCGCCCUCCCAACCCAAAGCCCAUCGUUUUCCCUCCGUCCCUCCCCUCUCCAUUGCCGCCGCCGCUCCCCUCAUCCGAGCUCGAUACGGGUGGUCGGCGGCCCCUCCUCUCCGCUCCCGCCCCCGGCCUCCCUUUGACCGCCGGGCGCCGGCAUCACUGCCGCGGCCAACCCCAGGGCGCAGCGCGUGCCUCUAUUUCUCUCCCCCGUUCAAGGGCCCUUUGAUGGCGACGAGCACCCACCCACCAGGUAUGCCCUCCCCUUCUCUUCCUAACCCUAAUAUAUUCGGAUCUCACCCAGUCACAAUAUAUUACCUAAUAGCUUCGAUUUUGUUUGCAAAAAUCAUCACGUGCGCACCCAUGUCCGCUAGAUUCUUGCGCCUGAUCCUGUGCUGCUAUGGUUUGGGCGGGGUAGACUAGUUGAUUCGUGCACUUUUGGGUGCUUGUAGUGCUAGGUUUUGGAGGGGGAUAGCCCAGUUGAUUCCUCCGUUUUGGGUGCUCAUGGUGAUAGGAUUUGGAUGGGGAUAGCCCCAAUGAUUCGUGCGCCUUUGGGUGCUGGGGAUAGUUUUGGGUGCCUGGAUAGUCCAGUUUCAAUGUCAGUAUAUGCGUAUUUUGGGGAGAAUUUUGUUUUGGGUGGUUCUGGUGCUAGAGUUUCUGAUGCUUAGUAGCCCAGUUUCAAUCAAAUUCCCCCAUGGGUCGUGCACUACGGGAAACAAGAAAAUUGCCGAGUGUAUUUUUUUUGUCGAGUGUUUUUUUUCGAGCACUCAGCAAACAAGCUCUUCGCCGAGUGCCAAGUCAAAAACACUCGGCAAAAAAAAACACUCGGCAAAUCGGGGCUUUGCCGAGUGUCAAAUAAAAAACACUCGGCAAAGAAGGGGGUUUGCCGAGUGUUAAAAAAAACACUCGGCAAACAGGAGGGUUUGCCUAGUGUUUUUUUGACACUCGGCAAAAAAAUAAUUGUUUUUCCUCUUUUCACCUUGAAAUUUUUUCUACUCCCCACAUACAACACGUGGUACUCCAUGUUAAAAUUUGGUAUAUUUUUGGAUUUAUUUGCUAUAUUUAUUUAAUUAAUUGCAUUACAAGGAAAUUUUUGGUAUAAGUCAAAUUUGAACUGCAAGUGAUUCAAAUUGUGGAACAAAAUGAGUAGAAAAAUGAUAUUCAUGUUAUUUGGCUCAAUUUGAGACCUGACCCAUGAAAUGAAAAGAAAUUUCGAACAUCUUGUUCAGGAAACACGACAAUGAACAUGUGGCGGUAGUAUUUUUAAAUUGUAAAAAAAACAAGCAAAGUCUGAAAAUCAUGAGAUUUGUAGUUAUGUGAUGAUAUAAUACGUGGAAGCUGUGGAAAAAAAUUGGAAAGGUUUUGCACAUUUCAUCAUGUACGAUGAUUACAAACCGAAGCAUAUCAGAAGAAGAAUAGUAACUUUGAGAAGGAUUCGAUAAAAUUUAGAGUCGAAGUGACGGUCGAGUUCGGUUUGACUACAAAACUUUUUGUAUAGUCAGUAGAGAACAUAUCUUAUUUCGUGUGAAAAUUUGGUAUUUUUUGAAACUGUUGGAUAUUUUUAAUUUUUUUUUAAAAAAACUUUGCCGAGUGUCCUAGGGUAGACACUCGGCAAAGAAAAACUUUACCGAGUGCCCGCCUAGGACACUCAGCGAACCUUUUUUUAAACCUACCGGCUCCGGCCGGCCCAGCCCACAAACACCACCCGCCCCCCGCCCCCGCGCCUUCUUCCUCACGCCGCCCCCGCCCCCCACCCGUGCCUCCGGACCGCCCCCUCCUCCCCCUGGCCUCCCCUCACGCCGCCCCCCUCCUCCCCUAGCUCCCUCCACCGGCGGCCCUCCCUCCCCCGGCGCACAUCCUCCACUCCUCCUCCCCUUCCCUUCCCUCCCCUCCCCUCCCCUCUUCCUCCCCUGGCCGGAUCUGGCGCCCCUAGCUCCCCUUUCUUCCGCGGCCAGAUCUGGCGCCCUCCCGGCGGCGGGUCGUGGCGAUCGGGGCGGCGGCGGCGGAUCAGGCCGCGGGGCGGCGGCGGCGGCGGGUCGUGGCUACCGGGGCGGCGCCCUGCCCCUCCCCUCCCUCUCCAUCUCCGGCUGCCGUCCACCCCCUCCCCGGAUCCGCCCCCCUCCCCUCCGCGCGGCCAGCCCCUCCUCCCUCUCCGGCCGCCGCCCCGGCCCCUCCUCUCCCUUUCUCCGGCCACCGCCCCGCCCAUCUUCUCUGGAUCCGGCCGGAUCCGGCCGCCGCACAGCCCCUCCUCCCCGGAUCCGGUGGGCGCGGACUUCGUGGUGGUGGCGCCGGAUCCCUCCCCUCCCUCUCCAGAUAACUCCCUCCACUCCUCCGCUCUUCCCCUCUCUCGCGCGGCGGCCUCUCUCCGGCCGCCGCCCCGCCCCUCUCCCCGGAUCCGGGGGGGGGGGGACUCCGCCCCUCUGCCCCGGAUCCAGCUCCCCGACCCGCGAGUGGGGCGAGCUUGCUCAUGCGGUCGACGUCGAGGCCAGGGUGUGGUGGAGGUGGUGGCCGGCGGGUGUGGUGGUGGUGGCGGCGGCGGGCAUGGCGGCGCGGAGGCAAGGCACGGCGGCCGGUGGGAGGCACGGGUGCAAGGCGUCGACGGCAGGAGGCAAGGCACGGCAGCAUGGGAGGUGGUGCUGUGGUGGUGGUGCUGGCGGUGGUGGCGGCGGCGGAGCAGGAUGUGGUGGUGGCGGAGGAUGUUUUUUUUUCAAAAAUUUGUUGCCGAGUGUUUUCUCGGCACUCGGCAAAGACUUUACCGAGUGCCCGACACAAAACACUCGGCAACUCAGUGUUUGCCGACUGAAAAAUUGCCGUGUGCCGUUUGCCGAGUGUUACACUCGGCAAACGGUUCGCCGAGGGUUUUUUGCCCUUCGCCGAGUGCCCCUAGCACUCGGCAAUUUCACUAUCUCCCGUAGUGGUGGCUGGACUUAUGGGGGGAUCAUUGAUGGGGGACUAGUUGGAUACUUUUUGGCUGUUUUGGGAGUCCUUGGCAGCGGCUUCUCAGGGCGUACGUAGCCCAUUGUAGAUUCCAGCCGAGAAGAUUAAGGAAUUGUGACUGCAACCAUGUUACUUUUCUAGGACUCUGUUUCUGAUAUUGUUCCCGCUGCAUCUUUUCAUCCCCAUGGUGAAUGUUGCUGUUGAUCUGUAGAUUGGAUUUGUUCCUCGGUAGCUUUAUUAGAUUUGUGCUGAAUGAUAAUCUCUGCCUGUGAUAUUUUUCUUCAUUGCGGAUGUGUGCCGAGUAUUAUCCCCUUUGUUCAUUCUGUUGGCUUUUUUUAUUGUCUCUGUACUCGGCUGUUCAGCUUGUGCAGCUAAUGAUCUAAUGUAUUUUGUCGUAACUAUGUAUUUUUCGGAUGUGUGCCGAGUAUUAUCCCCUUUGUUUAUUCUGUUGGCUUGCUUUCAUUGAUCUUAAGAUAACUGGUGCUAUAAAUUCACACUAGCUGAUGCACUUGCAAAUAGCUAUGUAAAUAUGAAAAGAAGUAUUUUUUUAUCCUUUUGUUUGUUUGGCAUCAUAUCUGUUUAAAUGGCAUAGCAAUAAGAAUUUUUUGUUUUUGGGGAAUCAUAUCUGCUUAAAUGGUAUAGAAAAUGCUGAGUGCACUGUCAAAUAGAUUUUCCAGCAGUCUGCUUUCAGUUGUUUUUGCAAAUCCUCACAGGCCAGUGAACUGACUUUGUUUUUACCACCCCAUGCCAUUUAAAUGACUAAAUCAGUCAGCCUAAUACUAUAUAUGGUCAUGCUAUGAUCUUAUUUCUUGAAGCUCUAUAGGUCAACCCAUAAGGGUAACUUAGUUUUUCCUAUUCUGGCUGGGGAAGUGGAUACGAUGGCUAUCCUUGGUAGAGUUAAAUACAUUGGCGGCUCUUAGCGCGCCAAUGUGGCACCACAAUAUCGAACAUAUGUAGAAACCCCCUUGUUUUUUCUCAUAUCCCUCUCUCUCAGCGUCCUCUUCUCUUCUUCUCCUCUGUCUCCUCCCCUCCCAUCGCGUGCUUUAUUGCGCCGCCGCCAUCCGCCUCCAUGUAUGAACACGUCGUUUGUCAUGAAGAAGCAGUUGAUGAGGCAAUCAAGCAUGUGGUGCACAAGGUUCUUCUGCUGGCCAAGUCCGAGUCGAACAGCCGCGCAUUCAUUGGGGAAGCACGCGCCAGGCAUCACCAGGCUCCUCGUGCCCCUACUCUGCUCCAAGGACUCGGUGCUUCGACGCGCUGCUUUCCCUGUCCGGCGAGCGGGGAUCGUUGGGAGAUGAUCGAUGGAGGAUGGAGCUGAUCCUCCUGUACACGGUGCCGGUGGGGAGCAGGGAGCUGCGGAGCAGGUCCACGGGCGGCGCCAUUACAGCAGGUGCAGGCUAAGGGUAAUGAGCAGAUCGAGGCGAUGGAGGAGGACCCGCACGAGGUGCAGCUUCUUCGCCUCCUGCGCAAAGUCAGCGCCCAAGCAGCCGCUGAGGGACAGGCCGAGGCUUAGCUCGAUCUCAUCCGACUAAAUGGUGGCUGCACUCCCACAGUCCCACUGGUGCUCCUCCCUUCUGUCCGAACCUGCCGAGGAAAUCCCUCGAUGCCAUGGGUCCCGGCUGGACGACUACUCCUCCCACAGAUUGACUGAGGAAGAAGAGCUUCUCAGUGUCCAAAAAUUCAGUUACACUGGAAACAGCAACCAAUUACGUUCUUCCGGCUCAGCCAAGCCCCAAUCUCCUUGCUUCUGUGCGCCCCUGCUAAAUAUUCCAGAAACCAAUCUGGUUAGUUGUUUUUUCACAUUUUCAGUGCAUGCCGGUGCUGCUGUGUGCGGCAUGCAUGGAGUUGUCGUGGGAGUGCACGGUGGCUUAGCUGGUGCGCCAGUGCGCGGGCACGAACACAACGGUGAAGAUGGCAGGGCCAUCUCAAAGCUCCUGAGCACCUGCACGCGUCGCUGAGCAGGACAUGCUGCGACGGUGGGCGAGCGCUGCUAACGCCCUGGGGAAGAGCAGUGGGUGCAGAGAGAGGGAGCGAGGGAGAGGGGUUCUUGUAUAUGUUUGCUAGCGUGGCACCGUUUACGGUGCCCGCCUAAGUGGCAUUCACGUGUCAUUCAUCCCAAAUGGUGUUGCAAGGUUGAACCUAUUGUGGGAGGCUUUUGGUUUCCCUUGACAGUAUCACCAGUGAUAUCACUGCGUUCUGGUUAUGUAUGAAACACUUGUCCUUUUAAAACCUUUCUGAAUUUAGAAACGAAUUUGAAACAUUACCCUCAUUUCCAUGUUUUUCUAUCUUUUGUCCCUGUAAAAUCAAACUAAAUUUGAAUUAUUAUGUUCAGAACUACAAGCUGAUUUACUUGUCCCAUUUGCUAAUAACAGGGCCUUGUGAUUUCUAAUGAACAUUGCAGAGCAUGUUAUAAAGCGUAUGCAUGAACACCAAGGGGAUGAAACCAUUGGUAUAUUUCUCACAACCUUUUGAACUUAUCAUUUAGCAUAUUUGUGUUCUAGUGUGACGUUUCAGCCACGAGACAUGAGAAAUGUUAGCUAUGGAUUUUGGUUAUUCAUCAUGGGUUCACAGAUUUGUUUUUCUCUAAAAGAAUUGGGAAGUAGCUUUCUUUCUGGGUAUAUGUGGGGAAAUGCAUAUGCAAUCUUUUAUUUAUUGAGGUGACUGUAAAAUUCUUGUCUGACUGAAUAUGCGAUUUCAACCUACAUGCUAUACUUAGGGAAAUUUGUGAAUCUCCUAAUGUCUGCUGCAUGGCAUGAAUGCAUAUUUUACUGGUCCAUAAUGUGAAGUUCUGUAUAUAAACUUCUCGUGUUGACCCUUUAGAACAUGCUAACUGGAGAGUUUUCUAGAGUAGUUAAACAAGAGAUUUAGUUAAAUCUGCACACAUAGGUGGGGCCUGGCAUACCCUAAGAAUCGGCCUAGCCGGUCAGCCCAUUAGUAAAAAAAAAAGCACCGCAGUCAGCAGUCCCCACGUUGGUCUUCCUCGAGUCGCGACUCGCGAAGCUCCCAUCCUCCGAGUCCAAGAUGGUGGACUGUGUCGAGCGCGGGGCGGGCGAUUAGUUGCCCGGCCGCCGGCGGGGGAUGGCCGGACGGCCAGAUCGCCGACUCCUCUAGUCCUCCCUCCAGCCUCUGCGCUUCUUUCACAGUGGAGCUAGCGGCGAGGCGCCCGACCGACACCCUUCUUCCCAAAUCCCGGCAGCCCUACCUCGAUUUGGCCUCCUCCGAUCAUUUGAUAAUCAAUUUGAUGAAAUUAAUAUGGAGUUGCUUUCUUGUAUGGUUGCCUUCAAUCCUGCUAAUUCAUUUGCUUCAUUUGAUGCACAAAAGAUACAUAGACUUGCUAUAUUUUUAUCCACAAGACAUCACAAGCACGGAUUUGCUAAAACUUGAAUUCCAGCUCGAUAUUAUAUUGAUGAUGUGAGAUAGGAUGAUAGUUUCAAAGGCCUACAAGAUCUUGUUAACUGAGACUCAGUUAAGCUUGUUGAAACAAACAGGCAUAAUAUUUAUGACUUGGUUUACUUGCUUCUCAAAUUGGUAUUGGUUCUUCUUGUGGCGACAGCUAGUGUUGAAAGGGAUUUUUGUGCAAUGACUUUGAUCAAGAGUAAGCUAAGAAAUAAGAUGGGUGAUAGUCUUUUGGAUGAUUGUCUUAUCACAUUCAUUGAGAAAGAUAUUUUCUUUGAAGUGGAUGAAGAAGAUAUAAUUAAGACUUCAUAUCCAUUAGAAAUCGUAGGCUGGAGAAGAAGUAAUAUUUUAAUUUUCUUUGAACGUUAGGUCUGUAAGCUUCUUUUAAACUAUCUACAUUAUAAUUUAUGGACCUUUUAAUUUAACCGUUGAAUUCAUGAUAUUAUGAGAUUUUUUUAUCUAUGUUAUUAUUGUUUACCGAUUUAUUACCAAAUUAUUAGUUUGAUCUUACAAUAUUGUAUUUUGGAUGAUUGGCUCGGCAUACUCUAAGUUUAAAUCCUAGCUCCGCCACUGUUUGCACAUUAAUGUGGCUUAUAUGUGUGGAGUCACUUAACCUAUGCACUUGGACCUCCACUCCCUUAGGUUUUAUGAACCUAAUUUGACAGCCUGCUCGUCUUUUAUUUUCUACCAAUCAGCUAGGAACGAACAUGGUGAUGUUUGCAUCUCUGCCAUCAAUGGCUUACAUGUCAUUAUGUAUCACAUUAGCAAGUCUUGUUUUGUUAUUGGCUGGGAUGACGGGGACUCUAGCUGGAAUUGAAUCAAAGUGGUAGAUCACAGGGUAUUCAUUGCCAUGUAUUUCUGCAGUUGCAUGGACUUGCAUCAAACGGACCUUCCUACUUAUGUGAUUGUCCUAUAUGAUCUCCUUUGAUUUCAUUUGCACACUGUAAUCACAUUAGCUAGAACACUCGCUUUUUGCUUCAAAUUUGAAAUUCAUAUCAUGAUGGACUAGAACGCUGAAUUUCUUGAUUGCUGAGUUACUAAUCACAUUGUGGCGCUGCCAAAGAAGCUGGACUCUUCAUUGUUGUUGCCUUGUGGGCUGCCGUGUGCAAAGAACAAGAGCGCACGGUAUUAUAAUAGCAGAGCAGAACACAGACAAGCGACAAGGAGCGGAGCAGAGCAGAGCACAGCCAGGCACAAGCAGUAGAGUAGAGCAGAGCAACCGGGAGAGGAGAGGGCACAUAUGCAGAGUAGAGCAGAGCCAAGCGCAAGCAUUCAUGCACUCAAGCAUGCAGCAGAGGUGUAGCAAGGCAAGCACAAGCAGCAGAGCAGAGGGAAGGGAAGGCUGGGAGAUGAAUAGGCGAAUAGUUACCUGGACAGAGCAGAGGGAAUGGAGAUGAUGCAGAUGCUUCCGGAGACUCGAGAUUUGGAGAGGAACAAGGCCACGUUGUGAACAAGGUCUCCUUUCUCUUCUCUAUUUCCCGCGCAAGUACUUGUGCAUAGUGGCUGCCUCAUCCUCCAGGACGUCCACUUCAACCUGAGGCGGGUGCCACAGACAUCCUGGCUAUGCGACGGCUACCCCCAGCACACCCCCGGCGCCUAUGAACCAUGAUCCUAAUACUAUAAAUUGUCAACCUUGUAAUCUUAUUUCAAGCAUGCUCUCUAUGUCAACCUGUAAGGUUAACUUCGUUUUUCCUUUUCUGGGUAGGGGAGUGGAUAUUGCUGUUAUUUAUAUUAUGUUGAUAUUGGUUUCCACAUGUCAUUCACCCCAAAUGUGUUGCAAGGUUGAACCUAUCAUCGGAGGAAUUUUUUUCCCUUUACCUUUAUAUCACUACGCUCUGGUUAUGUAUGAAACACUUGUCUUCUUAAAAACCUUAAUUUAGAAACAAAUUUGAAACACUAUCUUCAUUUACAUCCUGUAUGUGUUUUCUACCUUUUGUCCUAUAUGAUCUGCUUUGAUUUGAUUUGUGCAUAGUUUUUUCAAUUCAGACCUGGUGAUUUCUGAGGUUCAUGUUGUGCUGAUAAGCAGCCUACUAUUCAGUAACACUUUCAUGUGGCAUGUUCAUGUUAGCUAGCUAGAAACACUGCUUUUAGCUUCAAAAUUCAAAUUCAUGACAUGAUGGACAUUGACAAUGAAUUUCUUGAUUGCCGAGCUAUGUACACUGUAAUUCAGACCUGGUGCUUUUAGUUUUUUUCUUGAUUGCCGAGCUAGAAACACUGUGCUUUUAGUUUUUUCAAUUCAGACCUGGUGAUUUCGGUUUUUUCAAUUCAGACCUGGUGAUUUCUGAGGUUCACGUGUCACACCGAUUUUAAGAACAAAAUCGAGUGCAUUAAAUAUACAUGUACGCUAGGAUCAGGUUACACACAUGUACGACAUAAGCGAAUAUCAAAGACAAUGCCAUAACGAAAUAAAGAGAGUAUUAAUCAUUAUUACAUGACCGAAAGUCUCAAAUAAACCACAAAAUCUAUUUAUUACAUAGCGGAACUUCUAAGAUAGCAACGUCUCCACAGGCAGCUGACUGAAGAACUGUAUGCCUAGAACUCUUCAAAAUCGUGCAGGUACUCCUCCAGAUUAGCUUGGUAUGAACAACGGUUUUGCAAGGGUGAGUACACUUAUGGUUGGUACUUAAUAAGUCGUGGGAAACAAUGUAGUGUAAGGCAAAUCAAGGUAUGGCUAAGGCUUAAACAGCAUCAGCUUUUAAUUUAGUUGGUCAAAUUUUAUUAGCAAUUAAUUAGACGUAAAUUUAUACCACCCGAAAUUAAACAAGAACAUGAAUAAAAUAAUAACAUAACCAUAAAUGAAAUGACAACAAUUUAAAUCCAUCUUUUCAUAGCAUUAUCAUGUGAGGGUCCAGUCCGUUCUUAACCGUGAGCACCGCUGAUCGAUCAGUUUUACACUCUGCAGAGGUUGUACAUCUUUACCCACAAGUCGCGUAAAAGUUCAAAAGAAUUUUGGACCCAACCAUGCGGUAUUUGCAAGGCACCAUACCACACUUCCAAGGUGUGAUUGCAUAUGAACGCUACGAGGCCUUUACAAAGAUUCAUUAGUAAGUGGUAACCCGCUAAGGUUUCGGUAUUUGGCGUGCACAACCUAUCACAGGCCGCUAAUGCAACGACUCAGUCCCCCCUCUUGCCUCAUCACGAGUAAGAUUACCCCAGACUAAGGUUUCUAAUUAUUCAGCCAAGAUCAGAACCAUUUAGUCUUGUGGUAGCACUGUUUUCCUGGGUGGUUCUCCAUGUUCCGAUUAAACAUAAUGGUCUUGUAUUAAUGGAAGGUAUAACAUAAAUAAUACCAAAUUAAUAAUAAUUCAGAUUAAAUCACCAUAACCAUAUUUGAGCACUAAGCAUGAGCUACCCAACAUAAAUUUAACCCGGUUGGUCAAGGCAAGGUAGAUAAAGUCUAGGAAAUUCUUAAUUGGGACCCAUCAAGUUUAAAUUAUACUUUGCAUGGUAUGUUGCAUAGAACAUGAAAGUAAAUGUGAAUAGGACUGAAAAGGAGUGAUUAGGGACACGACUUGCCUUUUUAACCUUGUUCUUGCUGUUCGUACUCUUCGAAAACUUUGAUCUUCAAAUCCCUUGAACUGCUGACCGUCUACACGCGUCACACGACCACAUACAAGCAAACAAAUAUAAUACAUAAGAAAACAGUACACCAAUCAUAAUUAAAUAGAAGAAACAAAUUUGAAAAGCUAUUCUACGCAUUAAAACGAAAACACGGAUACAAGGAACGUUAAAAACGGAGCUACAGUGCAAAAACUACGCUUAAAACAAGAUGCAGGGGUAUAACUACGAGAAACCAAACUUCCAGGGAUUUAAUUUUAAAUAAUUUUGAACUGCAGAAGGGGCAGCAGGGCAAAACGUAGAAAAUGCAGGGGCUUAAGCGCAAAAGCAUGGCUGCUGACUCAGCUGACUUGAUGUGGAUCGUCGGAUGGCGAUCCGGCGGCCGGCAGCUGCUGCGCUGACGUCAGCGACGGCGAGCGCCGGCGAAAAACGGCAGUUCGCCGGAAUCGCCCGGGAACGCGCGACUGGGUGCAGAUUUGAGCGAGGAUUAGACUAGCAGAUAGAAACGAGCGCAGUGAACUCAUUUGGGAUGCCUACGGCGAGGACUUGGCGACGGCAUCGGCUCCGGCGAGAACUUGCGGCAGGGAAACCAAAUAAAAUAAAAUAACACGGUUCAGAGAAGCGGCGCUGGAGGAACGCGAGCGAUUUUGCGUGCGAGCGGAAGAAAACACUGCGAGGAAGAUGACUGCGGGCCCUGCUUGUCUGCGGCAGGAGGAGAGCUGCGUGCGAGAAGAACCUGGCCACGAUCUGGGCCGUUGCCUUCGAUCUGGGCCGAGGCAAGCUAGCUGGCCCGCUGCUGCGGAAAGGUGCUGGGCCACGGGCGGAGCACAGCGUCGGGCCAGAAAGGAGAUGGCUGCUGCGAGGAAACAAAAGAAAAUGAACUGGGCUGCGACAGAGGAAAACUGGGCGUCGGCCAGAAAGAAGCUGCGUGCAGCUUGCUCUUGUUUCCGAACUAGAAACAGGAACUGACGGAAAGACAGAAAUCAAUUGGAGACUGAAACUGACGCCCCAGACUCUGAACUUCGAAAAAACAGGACAACCAGCCAACUGACAGAAAAAAAAAAGCUUAACAACCCAAAAGCAGUACACAACCACGAAACCAGGCCACAAGACUGAAAAAGCUUGAUAGGAACAUCUGGCGACUGAACCAAAAAACUACAGAACUGCAACUGAAGAACUAGAGAACAGAUAAAUAACUGAUUGAACUCUGAAACUGAAACACCAAAGAGCAGGAAGCUGACUGACGGAAAAUGCAAAACAGCAACCCAAGGUGAAACACAAAUUCUUCUUCAAGCAUUCAAACAAAGAGAUAUGCAACAGCAUGAAUGCUCAAUAAAAUCCUAUAUUUCAUUAAUUAAUUAGAAAAAAUGCUCAAAUGCCUAGAAAAAUGCAAAAGUGACCUUAUAUGCCUUAAACAAGCAAAUUCGUUUCUAGCGAUUUUUGGUAAAAUGCAAAAUUAGAGAUUUUGGGUGUUACAUCAUGUUGUGCUGAUAAGCAGCCUACUAUUCAGUAACACUUUCAUGUGGCAUGUUCAUGUUAGCUAGCUAGAAACACUGUGCUUUUAGCUUCAAAAUUAAAUUCAUGACAUGAUGGACAUUGACAAUGAAUUUCUUGAUUGCCGAGCUAUGUACACUGUAAUCACAUUGUGGGGCUGAUAAAAUAAGCAGCGUUGAGACACAUAACAAUUGAAUCUUAAGCUUCACACAGAAUCUGGACCAGUCAUCCUCAUUCCUGUCAUGCUGGAAAUGUCUUUGAUACAUUUCAAUCACAGGCAAUUGAAUUCGUACUGGGGAGGAUGGCAAUGGUGCAUGAAGAGAGAUCAAUGUGGCAAAUCUCACAUUGUUCAUUACCAGGUAUCUCCGAUUUCUGGUUAUUUUAAAUUUACCUUGACAUGUGACUUAUUGAGGUAUUGUAUUUCAUCUAAUGGUAGUUCUGAAUUUAUGGUAACCUUGGAUGGGGUUUGUCACUUUAUACACGCACGGACUUACAAAGGACAGCAAAUGAGUAUAUUUAGAGGGCUCCUGUCCAACCAUGGACUAUACUUAUGUACCCUUUUUUGACAUGGUAAUUUGAGGUUAAUGGAAAAGUAGCGAUAGUCGCCUCCAGCGAAGCUACCUUCUUCGAAAGCUCCGAGGCUGCUUUCUCGCUCUUAGCAAGCCGAUCCCUCGUAAUCAUCGAAGAGUAAGAGACCUACAGAUUUUAAAAACCAAGUUACCAAAAAUAACGAAGUAAAAGACAACACUCGCAAGACAAACCACCAAACUAUCUCAUAAUUGUACCUUCUUUACGAGGUUCGCCUCCAAGUUAAAGAGCUCUUCCAAGAUCAUUGACUUCACAGCUUGCUGAAAAUCUAUGCGCCAAAGGAUAUAGUCGUAAGCAUAAAAUAAAAAUUGGUAAAAACCAAGGACAGCAAAGCCAUCUACAAGCUGUUCUUACCCUCAUACUUUCGCACCUCAACGGCGAUCGGAACAACCUUCUCUCUAGCCUCGCCCUUAGACGCCACCACAAUCUUCCCGCCACACAAAUCCACAACCCCUCCUUUACCUUUGCCCUCUCCCGAAGUCGUCGUGCCCGCCUUCUCCACCCUUUUUGAACCGCCAACAUCUGCAUAGCGCUCGCAACCUUCACCUUCAGCCCCCCAGACCAAAGACAGGUUGUGAGGAUUAUAAACCCUACCUUCGGCGCAUGUAGCUAGAAUCUCCGUGCGCCCGCUCAAGCCCAGACACUCAUUCAGUCCCUGAAGCCCCGCCGGCAACCUCUCACCUACAUCAUAACAUUCAACUUUUAGCCUCACAUGAUCCUCACAACUAACCUUACCAACGCCCCCCAUAGUUUCUUCCAAGUCCUUCAAAAAUUUCGUUGAGGCCUCACCACAAUCAAAGAACCGUAGCAUCGAUAGAAACACCUCUACAUGCUUACCAGAUCUCACAGCUUCGGCACACCCACCCUUUGGAUCAGAUGAGAACGCAUCCACAAGCUUCGCCUUUUCGGUGGCAAACCCCCUCUCAAGUUUCCCAACAUCAGUCAAGAGAUGUUGCGCGCUCUUAAACUUCGAGCUUAUGGAAGGCACCGUGAUCUUGGUACCAGCUGCCGAAGACGCGUCAACCUUGGCACCCGUAACAGUAACAGGAGCAAAUCGAGGUUUCUUGGCGCCUCUUUUGAUCCGUGCGGCGGGCCCGGUGGAUGAAGGUGCAAGAGCUGGAACCUCCUUAGGAGGGCGCAUAGAGACAGGAACAACAUAUGCCGGAUUGCUCAAGUCGCCAGACGAAGCUGUCGACCACGAUGGCAACAUAGCAGACGAAGCCCCCGCGGUCAUUUCCUUCCUUUUUUGCGCCUCCAAAUUCAAGGUCUUUUGCUUCGCCUUAGCGGUCACUUGCAAUUCAAUAGUGAGCUUCACCAUGGGUACGAAGUCAAAUUUUGCCUUUUUCCUCUGCUCAAGACUAGCACCGCGACGGCGCCUCUUGCCCGUAACUUUGGGGUGAGGCAGAACCACAAUAUCAUACAAGUCAAAAAUCUAAGAUGAUGACAUUCCAUUUGUAUCCAUGAUUUAUAUUGUGUUCCUUGAAUAUCCAUUAAAGUCUACUUGAAUUGAUUUGCAAUUAUGUGAAUUGUAUGUGAAACUCUUUCCUUGUAUGGUUAUUCUAAAGUUGUCCCUAGUCGGAGUUCAUGUGAGGACACAUGAAUAUUAGACUAGCACAUGUAUUAGUUGAUGACUAUGUUUCACAAGUCAUGGACAUGAAGAUGUGGAACUAAUAAUGUGGGCACAUGUGGAGACACGUGCUAGGACUGACCCAACACGAGAAGUAGUUCUCUCUUUAUACAACAUAUACGCUUUGUCCUUAGACCUGAGAUUGUCGCAUGUACUCAAGAUGUGGAUCGACUUACUUAGGGGCUAUCAAAUUCUACGCCGUAACAGGGUAGUUAUAAAGGUAGCUUUCGGGUUUGUCAAGAAGCAUGCUAUGAGACAUGGUCAAUCAAGAUGGGAUUUGCCCCUCUCUGAUUGAGAGUGAUAUCUCUGGGCCCCUCGAGUGAUCGGAUCCGAAAAUGCAUGGCCAUGCUACAUACGAUUAAGAGUUAGCCUACAAAAGGAUUCCGAAUCAUAGGAUCGAGAAAGAGCGGUCGGCUUGAAGCUAGACCAAAUAUCGUGAGGCAAAGGGAAUAGCAUGUAUAUAAUGUUGUGAUGGUUCGUCUGAUAUGAUCUUCGUGUGCGUAUAGGAGUUGGCACGUCUUGCUAGAGGUCGCUACCGACUAUUGGGCCGAGUAGGAGUACUCAGGCCAUGUCUAUACGUAUCCGAACCCAUAGGGUCACACACUUAAGGGGCUGGAAGCCCAAUUCGGAUGUGAUCCGAAUUGGAUUAGGUUUAGAAGUACUAAUGGGCCUUGGACCUAGAGGCCCGUUAGGAACCUCUAUAAAUAGAGGGGUGGGGGCGCCCUAGGGUUUACACCUUUUUGGUGAAACACAUCUGCCGCGCCUCCCACGCCUUCGCCUGUUGCAACUCGCGGACCUAGCAGUCCGGCUUGCGACGCUUCCUCCCUGCACGUGUGGAUACCUUGGAAGUGUUGCUCCUGCAGCACUUGGACGAGCCGCCAACGAGCCACGACGAGCCACGAUGAGCCGACGAUGAGCCGCGGCACGAGGGGGAUCUUGCUGCACGUGGACGAGCUGCUGAGGAGCUGCUGGACGUCGAUGUGUUCGACUACGUACGACUACGCUGAUCGACUUCGCUGCAUCAACGCGAAUCUACAUCUUCCGCAUCAUUGCAUCGAGUGGUAAUCCCGUGAUCCUGAUACGGCAGUUUUCCUAGUUUACGCGGUAGAAAAUUUUGUUUUGUGCUAGUGUAGCCUAACUCAUAUCCCAACAACGUGUGCUAUAGGUCACGCAAGCCUGAAAAUGGCCACACCGGACACCGGGUACGAAAACAUGGGGGAUGGACCGAACAUUUGAAAAUGGCCUCCAUAUGUGUUUUCGGCUAUGAAAAUGUGUGUUAUAGGUCACAGAAGCUUGAAAACGGCCGCACCAGCCACUAGGGACGAAAACGUGGGGGAUGGACCAAAGACAUAAAAAAUAGCCUCCAGACGCGUGUUCGGCCAUGAAAACGUGUGGUAUAGGUCCUGGAAGGCCAAAAACAGCUACACCGGCCACCUGGGACGAAAAAGUUUGUGUAAGACCGAACACUUGAAAAUAGCCUCUGGACGCGUGUUCGGCUAUGAAAAGGUGUGUUAUAGGUCACACGAGCCCCAAAACAACCACAGCGAACACCAGCUACAAAAACAUGGGGGAUGGAUCGAAUAAUUGAAAAUGGCCUCCAGACGUUUGUUCGGCCAUGAAAUCGUGCGUUAUAGGUCGCGGGAGCCCGAAAACGGCCACACCGGCCACCGGGAAUGAAAAUGUGGGGGAUGGACCGAACAAUUAAAAAUGGCCUCCGGAUGUGUGUUCGGCCAUGAAAACGUAUGUUAUAGGUCACGGGAGCAUGAAAACGGCCGCACUGGCCACUGGGGACGAAACGUGGGGGAUGGACCGAAGACGUGAAAAUAGCCUCCAGACGCAUGUUCGGCCAUGAAAAUGUGUGCUAUAGGUCAUGCAAGGCCAAAAACAGCUGCACCAGCAACCGGGGACGAAACCAUGGCUGUCAAACCGAACGCUUGAAAAUCGCCUUCGGACGCGUGUUCGGAUAUGAAAACAUGUGUUGUAGGUCACGCGUGCCCGAAAACGUCCACAACGGACACCGGGUACAAAAACGUGGGGGAUGGAUCGAAUAACUGAAAAUGACCUCCGAACGCGUGUUCGGCCAUGAAAACGUGUGUUAUAGGUUGCGGGAGCCCAAAAAUGGCCACACCGGCCACCGAGGAUCAAAACGUGGGGGAUUGACCGAACAAUUAAAAAUGGCCUCCGAUUGUAUGUUCGGCCAUGAAAACGUGUGUUAUAGGUCAUGGGGGCCCAAAAAUGGCCGCACCAGCCACCAAGGACGAAAAUAUGGGAGAUGGACCAAAGACAUGAAAAUGGCCUCCAGAUGCAUGUUUGGACAAAAGUGUGUGCUAUAUGUCGUGCAAGGCCAAAAACAGCUACACCAGCCACCGGGACAAAAACGUGGGUGUUUGACUAAACAAGUGAAAAUGGCCUCCGGAAGCAUGUACGGCUAUGAAAAUGUGUGCUAUAGGUAAUGGAAGGCUAACAAAAGCUACACCGGCCACCGGGGACAAAAUCAUGGGUGUCAGACUGAACACUUCAAAAUGGCCUCCGGACGCGUGUCCGGCUAUCAAAACGUGUGUUAUAGGUCAUGCGAGCCCGAAAACAACCACACUGAACACCGGGUACAGAAACAUGGGGGAUGGACUGAAUAACUGAAAAUGGCCUCUAGACGCGUGUUCGGUCAUGAAAACAUGUGUUGUAGGAUGCGGGAGCCCGAAAACGGCCACACCGGCCACCAGGGCAUGGACCAAACAAUUGAAAAUGGCCUCCGGAUGUGUGUUCGGCCAUGAAAACGUGUGUUAUAGGUCACGGGAGCCCAAAAAUAGCCGCACCGACCACUGGGGAUGAAAUCGUGGGGGAUGGACCGAAGAUGUGAAAAUGGCCUCCAGAUGCGUGUUCGGCCAUGAAAACGUGCGCUAUAAGUCAUGUAAGGCUAAAAAUUGCUACACCGGGACUAAAGCAUCCCCCAUGAGUUACAAUAAAAGGAUUGUAUCCUCUACUCAGUCGGAUGUACUGUGUAGGUGAGAUGGUAAGGAAGCUAUGCGCGAGGUUUGAGGUUGUGGGUUGAAAUCCUACGCACCGCGCGCACACGCGCAUAUUUUGUGUGAAAAAUCAUGUGACUUGUGAUCGGCCAAGGAGAAGUGGGUGCAGCUGUGGCUUAAGUGGCUGAGGCACGCUGCCAUAGACAUCUCCGAUUUGCUCGAAGACUACCAAGACACUAGCAAUAACAAGAACUACUGCUCUUCCUAGCAGACUCUUUACAACCACUUUAAAGCUGUGCAUUUCUCAAUGUAAUUUCGUAGAAGGCAAUCGAUCCAACCAAGCGACUAAAUCAUUUGUUCUUGCCAAUGAUGUACAUCAGGUUUUCUAUAUGAAGGACAUGUCUAGCAAACCUAAGAUUUUAGAAGAAAAAGAAAAAUUAUGGGAGUCAAUAAUAAAUCAGGCCAAUCAGGAGAUUAUAGUAAGCUCGAUGGUAUGCCUCCAUUCGAUGUCGAAGUUGGCCCAAGCAUCAUGUUAGCCAAAGAUCAAAUGUUCGUGCAUUGCUACGGUAAAGAUCAAUUGUGUCUUUUAAACCCAUGGAAUUUUUUAUCUAUGUUUUUAUUACACUUAAUGGAUGUCUACACAUUUGCUAGAAAAUCAAAAUAAUUUUGACUUAAUUAUUUCUUUCAACUCAAAUACUCAUUAAAUUUCUACCUUUUUAUUUAAGCAAGAGAGUUGCUCAAAAAAUGGAUACGUAACCAUGUUGUAUCAUACAAAGCAACCACAUUUCACAUAUAGUCUGGCUUAGCAAACACCAUUGUUGUCUUAACAUAGUGUUCAUGAGUUAGUAGACAUGGAUCUAUUUCUAAUUGCAAGUAGUGCAGCGUACAACCAGCCUGCACCGCCGCAGCUCAAUAUGCGAUAAUUUUUUAUCUUCCCAUGUAAUUUUUCUACUCUAGUACAUAUUGAACUCCACAUAAAUGUCAUGUUCUUUCACGCCACAGACGGUUUCUAAAGUUUGGAACUAAAUAGAUAGCCAAAAAUUUUAAAAAAAUAUUUAUAUGGAUACAUGUAUGUUCUUUGCAAACUAACAAUAUUGUUUACAAUAUCAAAAGGAAUAUGGCUAUGAUCAUUGCCGCAUAUGGCAGGUGAUGGUAGAUGCCGUAUGGGGUUUCUUUAACUUAAUUGUAUAAUAAGCUGAAAUACAUUUUCUAUUUGCAAAUGAAUCAUAGCUGAAAGUGGUGGGAUUGUAGAACCGCCGGCCAUCGUGUCCUUGUAGGACCGCUGCACGAGCCUGUGAGCCACCAGCCACCAUGCGCCCAAGGGCCAUCACCACGCCAUAAGAGGAUGCUGUCUACCCGGUUUCGCGCGCCUGUGCUAGCUGCCUGAACCUGGGCCGCCGCCGGUCGCCUGCCCAGCCGCGCGUUGCGCCAGGGUUUUGCUGGUGACGACCAUGGCCUUCGCGAUCAAAUUAAAAAGUUAUCAACUGCAAAGUAUUAGGUCUCGUUGAGCUCUACAAUUUUGAUAUAAAGUUUCUAUUCAUCCGAGAUCAAAUAAAAAAUUUGAUACUCAAAGCAUAAAUCCAUUAAUCUAGUCUUGCUAAUCCUUACCACCAAAUAAAAAACUAGCAUGUGUUGUGUGUUUGUGACCCUAAACGAUCACAAAUGAAUAACUUAUGGGCCUUGCUAGCGCCCGGAUGUCCAGGCCGGGGCACUAGCAUCAGACCCACGAGUAGCCGUCCGAUCAGGUUCGACACCACUUCAGGAUCUGGCUUAAAAAGAAGUCCCACCGAAACAUUGUUCCAUGUUGCAUGAAGCAACCCACUACCGUCGCCAGGUCUAGAGCAAGCACCACCUUCAAAUGUGCUGCUCACCCUAGCUAAAUAGGGGCAUUAAAAUAUUUCUCGCAUAUCCUUCUCAAAUUAAACAAAAUCGCAACAUCUGAAAAUUUUUACAGAAAACCAUGAAACAUAUCGAUUAGAUAGAUGUAACAAGAUGGAAUAUGGUAUAUGCAACAUAUAGGUUCCGAAAAGCAGAUGAAAUAUUAUGUAAUGAUUCUUGAAACAGUCAAGAAAAAUAGAUGUAACAUCUAAAAUUAAGAAAAGAAGCUUUAUGCAAAUUGCAAAAAGCUGAAACAAGUGGUUGAAACAUUUCAAAUCACCAAAUGCCACAUUUGAAAUGACCAGAUGAAACAUCACGAAAUCAAUUGCAACAGUUGAAGAUGAAAACAUUCAAAUGCCUUGCCUUUCUCCAAAUUUGACCCUCCAAGCAUGAGUCCAGCCAUUUGCACAUUAGACCCUUGGGAGGAGCUCACCGGAGAACAACAAGACCGUGUUAUCCAACAAUUUUCAGAUCAAAUUGCAACAUAAAGAACAAAGCAUUGCAACAUCUGGCAUCACGAGCUACAACAGCAACCAGUUAGGAUCAGGAGAAAGAGGGCAAACACAAGCCUAACAAUGAGUUAUAUCCGGUUUAAACAAGGAUAAAAAUGAGUGUAUUUUACACUCAUCAUGUUGUCUUUUCGCAGCUGUACCGCCUUUAGCGUGUUGUAUUGUUCCUAACACCAAGUCUCCGAGGCCCGAAAAAAUAAGGAAAGUGGUAGCAGCUCAGAAAUCGACUAAGUUUCUUUCCCCCUUUGGCUUUCCUACUAGGAUUCGGAAUCCUCUUUCGUAUGACAAUCUUAAUGAUCUCCCAUAGUCCAAAACUCACAAAAACAUCAAAAAUCCACCGAGAAUAAAUUAAGUAAAAAAACAUGCACACACAGAUAAUAAUAGUAAUCAUGUUUCAUUAUGAUUGCUAAGGUCAGACACAAUACAUAAACAUAUUAGACUGAGUGACCCACCUCACCUCAGAGUAUGCACCAUGUCUGAGUGACCCACCUCACCUUGCCAGGACACUGGUCCUGCCCUCGUGGUUCACGCGCCCUCGUGGUUCAGCAGUGGUCAGUACACAAAUCUAGCUGCCAGUCGGAUCCAAGGGCAGGCAUUUGCAUUGUGGUUGUGUUUGAACAUGGAGAUGUCAUUAUUAUUGUCAGGCACCAUACAUCCUCUCUCAGUUUCACUCCGCCUCACACACGGAUAGCACACCAGGGACCCGACACCAUGCAUGCCGAUUUCAUAUUAUUAAUAUUUAAUUUUUUUAAUGGUUGUUGAAACUAUAUUGUUGAUAUUUUUAUACAUAAUUUACGACCUAAUUUGGAUAUAUUUUUGAAAUAUUCCGAAAUCUUAAAUUCACACGUCUAGAGAUACAGUUAGUCCAAUCUGAUGUUUCCGAUUAUAAAAAUGAACAUAAAGAGAUAGGAAGCGAGAGACGUGAGGGGGAAAGUUAAAUUAGGGCCUAAGGGGUGAAGUUAGGGUUCCAGGUGAGCUGUCAUCACUACGUGUUUUUAAUCGAAAUUGGAAUGUCAGCAAUCGUCAGAUCUUGAGCCAACAGUUGAGACUGCCUCGGAAUGGUAAUUAGGUCUGCGCGAGCUUGCAUUGUGGCCUUCCUUGAAACCUUGGACAUAGGUGUUAUAUUAUUAUGUUCUUGCCAGCACACAGCAGUGAAGGACGACACAGUUGAGAUGUGCAUCACAUUUUCUAUAUGAAGGAUAUGUUUAGCAAACCUAAGAUUUUAGAAUAAAAAGAAAAAUCAUGGGAGCCAAAGCGCCACAUAGUUCUUCCAGGUAAAAAAAAAUCAUCCACUGGACCAGCACAUAGUAACGAUCCAAAAAGUCCAUAUUAAGAUUUUUUGAUAGCAGAAAAAACAUAAAAUGUCUAAUAUUUGUAGUAUUAAAAGGAAAAAUAAUAUAUUCACGUGACCUUUUUCCCGUAGCAAGGCACCGGUACGUGGUCAGACUUAAUGCACGAUGCCUAAGCAUCCAUUGGGCCUACCCUCGUGUGGAUCACGCGCAACAGGACACGGCUCACAAGCUAUGAUGUGCAGCAGUCGCUCAGAUGGCUGAAAGGUACCCUUAAUUUGAAUGGUACCAUAUAUAUAUAUAUAUAUAUAUAUAUAGUAAACAAGACAAACCACCGUUGAUACUACUUUGCACUACUUGAUACAUAUAUCUCCACCAAAAGCGAGGCACGUGGGGAGGAGAGAUAUGUGGUUGAUGGUGCGGGCACGUGGCGAGUGCACCGUACGAAAAUUUUGCUCGUGUCGGACGACUGAUGUGAAGCAUUACCCAAUCUUAAUUAUCUCCCAUAAUCCAAAACUCACAAAAACAUCAAAAAUCCGCCGAGAAUAAAUUAAGUAAACCAUGCACACACAGAUAAUAAAAUUGCUAAUAAGGCCAGAGACAAUACAUAAACAUAUUAGACUGUUCAUGACACAUAUCACGGUGGAUAGUGUCUGUGUCCUUAUUACAAGCAAUGAGAGAUGCUUGUCACCACACACACGCGCACAGAUGCACAACAUACAUAUAGUUGAGACCAACAGAUGGAUCAACUAGAGGUCACCCCAUAUGGUGAACAAUUUAUUGGAGAUAAACAUUAACAUAACUUGGCCAUAGCUUGAAGCAUAGCAACAUAUGCCUAUGAACGGCGUUCAUGCUAUCAUUUUAGGCUUGUCCGCUUCUUCCAUCUUAGCAAGCACUUCCAUUUCUACCAUCUUAGAAGCAACUGUCAAAUUGAGAUAUGGAAAUCCCAUUAGCGCAUGAGUUAAUUUUGCAGUGAAAAUAGAGUACAAGAUAUCUUCAUGAUGUAAGUAACAUGCCUGAAGUUGUGAGAUGGGAAGUGAAGUCAACAAAUUACAUUAACGGAAAUGCAUGGAAGGCCACACAUACGUAUUAGUCCAUGAUAUGCUACAAAGCUUGUAUGUACAUAUAGCAAAUUAAAUGCAUUAAUUGAAUAGAGUGAGUUUAGUGAAUUUACCAGAAUCGUCCAGAAAACAUGGGAAACAGCAAGUGUUCUUGCAGACUGCGUCGGUGCCACCCACAGCAAUACAACCAAAACAACAUGCUUUUGCCCGAGCGGCUGCGCAGCAGCCGCACUCUGCCGCGGUGGCCGAGUUAGCAUUGAGGCUCAAGAUGACCAGGCACAUGAUCACCAUCAAAGCGGUGGUAGUCCUCUUUCCCUCCAUUGCCUCCUCUUGCUGCUACCUUCCUUGGUUACCUAGCUAAGUUUAUUGGUUUUGUGUUGAGAGGUGAUUCUUGCAUUGAAUGGACGUUGCCGCGGCUGCAAUUUAUAGGCAGCUGCGCUAUGUGAUGAUAUGGACAAGGUGCAAAUGGGUGGUCCUGAUAUGGAUAAGGUGCAUGCGAAUGGCUGUCUACUUGUAUAGUGGCGCUCCAAUGUACAUACGUAUGUAUCUUAUGCAUGUAUACAGUUGAUGGAUGUACAUGUUUGUUGCACAAAUUAUUCUGAACCAACUCUUCAUAACAGGUCUUUGUUACCAAGUAAUUUUACUUUUGCACGUUUCAGCCGAGAGGCAGAAGAGAAUAUUUUACAGAGAGGGCAGAGAAGGAGGUUGGCGGAGGCGCCGUGGUAGGGUUCCCCGUGUCGCCAAGAUUUUUGCAUUUUAGAUGUGUGUAUUGAUCACUUCGUCGUGCUCGCGGGGCCCAACUCCAGGUUGUACCCCAGCAGACCACGUUCUGUUUCUCUGCCUCCAAUGAGCAUGCAUGCCUCCACAAGGACCACAAGACUUAGUAAAAAAGCUAAACUUUGCAACACGAUGUAUACAGAACGUUUUGAAAUGUACUCUCGUUAGGCAUUCACCUCCUUAACAAUCACUGCGACUGUAAAAGAGGUACAUCGACGCUAGCUAAAUAAACCACUAUAAGAUUUAGCAAGAGAUCAUUUUAUACAAUCCUGUAACGAAACAAUUUGACAAUUAUAGUGUCCAUAUAUUUUGACAAAAAAACGUUUAAAUUAUAUAAGGAGGUGGGCCCGAAAACGGUUGGAUUACAUCGAGAACGUUUUGAAACAGUUGGCGGAGCAGGAUUCUGGCGUGGAGCAUCUACAUUGUCGCGCGCGCGGACUGCCGGAGUAGGCACGCUCGACUUGUCCCAUCGCCAGCUAAAUGAUUUAGUACCGGAUGGUCUCUAGUACCGGUUGGAGCUACCGUCCACCAGGAGCUUUUCUAGUUUGGAACUGGUACUAAUGCUAAUAUUAGUAUCAGGUCAAAAACAAUCGGUACUAAGGCUAGGGAUGACACGUCAUUUUUCUAGUAGUGUGUGCAAUUGGUUUUGUAAUUAGUCUAUAUUUAAUACUUCUAAUUAGUAUCUACACAUUUUAUGUGACAGGGACUGAACUUUAGUCCGUGGAACCAAACACCCCAUAAGUAUGUUUGGUGCUGUAAGGAUUUCGGUUUUAUUUAAUUUCCUAGGCAUUUAAAUUUCUUUCUAAAAUAAGUUAAUGAAUCAUAGGAUCUCAUUGUUGUAUUCAAGCUGGUGCAUUGAUUUUGCCUAUAAAACCCGCCGCGGUCUUCGCAGCCCCCAUCAAACCCUAGCGCCCUUGCCACAAGCUCAGCACCGCUGCCGCCCGAGCUCGAGCACUAGCACCCACCCAUCGCCGUUGCCUUCCCGUCGAUGGGAUCACCGCCCGGAGCUUCGCAUCGUGGUAAGGAAGCCGCCCGUGAAGAUCCCAUGUGCUCCUAUGCCCUCUACCGCGUCCCCGAGUUCCCGGAGUUGCUAGUCUCCCACCGAGCCGACUCUCCGAGCUUCACGUCACUGGUGCCGCUCCGAAGACCUAGUUCGGUUCGCCAUGCACCUCGCUUCAUCCUGAGCUAAACCCCAUAAUGAAUGGUGGUCGGAUGCUCGCCGCCACGGCGCGUCGUCUUUUCUGUCGCCCGUGCAUUGCCUAUCCCCUUCCAGCCGAUUGCAGCUGUCCGAUCGCAAACCGGUGGCCCUGAUCGGAUACCAAGGUCAAUACCGGUCGAACCGAGCCGUGCGCUGCUUUUGCAAGAAGGCCCCUGUUUUUCUCUCUUUUUGCACCUGAGGUCCUACGCAGUUCAAAAGUAAUAAGAUCUAGGUCCUUUUUCUUUUGUUUUAGCCCGUGUUCUUUUAUAAAAUCCCGCCCACUAUUCUGUUUGGUCUUUUGACGCGUUAGACCUUCUUUUUAUAUGUUUAAUUAGGUUUUAGGUCUCGAUUUCUUUAAGUUUAGCCCUUGAAAGUUUAGUUCUCUCGCAGUUAAGCCCCUGAACCUUGUUUAGCUCAUAUCUUAAGCGUUUUAAAUCCGUUUUAACAGAUUCUUGCGCCUAUAAGUUCAUGUUGACGCAUAGAUUAGUUGACUUAUACGAACCUUGCUGAUUCAGCUCCUUGAUUGUGCUUCAGAUCUCGCUAGGGAAGAAUAAUGGAUGGGCUUUGGUUGAGCUUGUAGAUCGACUUGCAGUUGCAGUGAAUGAGCAGAGGAUUGGCAGUGAAUAAGAUCAGGCCGCUGCCCUGCUUGGUAGGGAAAAUAUCUGCUUGCUACCAAGGCCUGUGACGCAUGGACCCCAUUGAGAGUGCAUUAUUGACAAGGACUUAAAGCCAAGGGCUCCACACCUGUCAUUGAUCAGCUGUCUGCUGGGCGCUGCAAGGAGGUAGUGCAUGUUUGACAUAAAGAAGCAGGUGGCCCAGGAUUUACGAAAAAUAAGGAUCUAUUUGAUACCCUUGCUUAUAUUUAGGGGCUAAAAGUUGCUUAUUUGAAGUUGCUUAUUUUUAAUCCUAGCUGUUUGAUUGCAUGGGCUAAAGAGCAUUGAAUGAGGUGGAUAUUGUCAUGUUUGCCUCUAAUGAUUGCUUCCCAUCACAUUUCUCCCCCCUCAUUCAACGAGGGAAGGAGGUGUAAAGUGCACCUUUUAGCCCCGAUAAGUAACCCUUGUGUUGUUUACGGGCUGAACAUAAGUAGCUAAAGUUUAGCUCCAAUAAACAAGAGUGUUUGGUAUUUUUGGGGUUAAAAGGGGCUAAACUUUAGCUGCUUAUGCAUAAGCAAGGCCAUCCAAAUAGGCCCUAAGUAUGUUUGGCGUUGUAAGUAGGUUUUAUUUAAUUUCCUAGGCAUUUAAAUUUCUUUCUAAAAUAAGUUAAUGAAUCAUAGGAGUUCAUUGUUGCAUUCACGCUGGUGCAUUGAUUUUGCCUACAAAACCUGCUGCCGUUUCCGCAGCUCCCAUCAAACCCUAGCACCCCCGCCACGAGCUCCAGCGCCGCUGCCGCCCGAGCUUGAGCACUAGCGCACACCCAUCGCCGUCGCCUUCCUAUCAAUGGGAUCACCGCCCGGAGCCCGUGUCAUGGUAAAGAAGCCGCCCGUGAAGAUCCCGUCCACUCUCGUGCCCUCUACCGCGUCCUCGAGUUCACCGGAGUUGCCAGUCUGCCACCCAGCCGCCUCUCCGAGCUUCAUGUUGUCGUUGCCACUCUAGCUGCCUCUCUGAAGACCUAGAUCGGUUUGCCGUGCACCCCGCUUCAUCCUGAGUUAAACCCCAUCAUGCCACGUCAUAGUAAGGAAGCUGCUCAUGAAGAUCCCGUGCGCUCCCGUGCCCUCUACCGCGUCCCCAAGUUCACUGGAGUUGCUAGUCCACCACCGAGCCGCCUCUCCGAGCUUCACUUCACAGUCGCUGCUCCAGCCACCACUCUGAAGACCUAGAUCAGUUCGCUGUGCACCCCACCUCAUCCUGAGCUAAACCCCAUGACGAACUGUGGUCGGAUGCUCAUUUUCGAGUGAAUUCCGGCGAGAUGGUCGCCCGCCGCCGCCAUCUCCAUCGCCCAUGCACCGCCUGUCCCCUUCCAGCCGAUGUCCGAUUGCAAACCGAUAGCCGAAAUCGGAUGUGGUCACCAGGAUUAAUACCAGUCAAACUAAGCCACGCGUGCCGCUUUUGCAAGAAGGCCCCUAUUUUUCCCUCUUUUUGCACUUGAGGUCCUAUGCAGUUCAAAAGUAAUUAGAUCAAGGUCCUUUUUCUUAUGUUUUAGCCCUAUUCUUUCAUAAAAUCCCGGCUGCCAUCCUGUUUGAAAUAGAUACGGUUAUAGAUAUGCAAACAUCUGCAUAUUUCCAACCGUAUCUCUUUCGAACGGGAGACGCCUAACUAGGUUACGUGACAUACGAACAUCAUACGGAUAGAGAGGGGUAGGAUGUCUCACCUUGCUAUCCUACAAAGUGACGACUCGAGGACAGUAAUGUAGCCUCUCCUUCAAAAAAAGAACAUACUACUAUCAAGUUAAAUUUUUGACAGCACCUCCCCUGCACGUGGAGGUUUCCAUAACCUGCAUCAAAUAAAACGGCACGAUGGCUGACAACCACAUCUACAGCACCAGAAUGGCACGAUGGCCGACUUCCACAUAAAGUUCUUAUACCUUAGAUUGCCAAGUCAAACAUCCUUUUCUAAUUUCUAAAACAAAAGCCCUCCCACCUCUCUAUCUUAUACUUUCCUAUUUACUAAUUGCUUUUGUAAUUUCUAAUUUCUAUUUCAUCCUACCACCUCUGUACCCUUUUCUCAUUUCUAAUUCCAAUUUUCUAACUUGAAGAGCAAAGAUUGAUUACUAGGAGGGGUGAGGGACGCCGGCCUAGAGAGGCGAGGGGACGUCCGGCGGCGGCGGGUGCGUCGGGGGUAGGAUGCCAGGGGCGGCUGCAGGGGCGCCGGGUUGGGGGCGGCCGGGAUCGAGGGCACCAGUAGCGGGGGCACCGGGCCGGGGGCGGCCGGCGGGGCGGGACGCCAGGGCCGGGGCGACGGGCGCCGGUGGCGAGGCCGCCCGGCCGGUGGUGGCCGGCGUGGCGCCUGGGCCGGGGGGGGGGGGCGGGCGGGGUGCGGCGCGGCGCGCCGGGGCAGGGCGCCGAGGCUGGGUGGUGGGGUACGGGGCGGCGGGCGGGGGGUGGGGGGAGGGUCGGCGGCGGGGCGCGGGGGCGGCCAGCGGCGACGGCGGAGGGCGUCGGUGGUGUUUCGGAAGUGAUACGGAGGGGGUAGAGAGAUUCGUUUUCGCGGCUGAGUGUUCGAGUCAGAAGGCCGUGCGGCUUAAGUCAGGUGGUUUGCCGAGUGCGCGCGAUCUGGCACUCGGCAAAGUCAGAAGUUUUGCCGAGUGUCAGAUCGCGGGCACUCGGCAACUGCAGCUUUUGUCGAGUGCCCUGGAUUCGGCACUCGGCAAAGUGAAGUUUUAAUUUUUUUUAAAAAAAUUUAAUCGGAACACGGGCGUGCCAGCGGGCCCGUGACAUACUUUGCCGAGUGUGUAGCAAAAACACUCGGCAAAAUAUUAUCUUUACCGAGUGUUUUCGCUAGGCACUCGGCAAAGUACACUUAUAUUUCAUGUACACUUUUUCAAUAACGUGUUUUACUAACCUUUUUCUGAUAUACUUGGGAAAAACCUUAUCAAAUUCACUCAACAAUGGAUAUAUGGUUUUUCUACUGACAUUAUUCCAUUAUUUCAUUCAGUUAUAGCUCAAAUUGAAUUUAUAUCUAUUAAAAAUCAAUAAUUGCAUUUAAUAAAUAAAAAAUACCAAACGGAUCUGAAAAAUUUCCAAAAUUUGACAUGAACCAAUCUAUGUUGUAUGUUGCCUGUACAAAAAGCUUUGAAGUCAAACCCCAAUUCAAGUGUCACUUGGACUCCAAAUCUUAUCGGAUCCUUUCUAACUUCUAUGAAUCCUUUCGGGAGAUGAGUCGGUUUGUAAGCAUCAUAUGUCAUAAAUUGGGCGAAACCUUCUCAAUUUUUUACCACAGCCUCCACAUAUAAUAUCAUGACACCUUGACAAAUCUUGUGAUUUUCAGACUUCGUUUGCUUUUUUUAGAAUUUAACAACCAUUCAACCACAUGUUCGUGAUCGUGUUUUCUAAAAAAAUGUUCAAAAUUUCUUUUCAUUUCCUGGUUGAGACCUCAAUCCGGAUUGAAUAAUAUGAAUAUGAUUUUUUCACUGAUUUUAAUCCAUUAUUUAAAUCACUUGCAGUUAAAUUUGACUUAAAUAAACAAAUUCCUAUUAAUGCUAUCAAUUCAUUAAAAAUAGCAAACAGAGAAAAAAUAGACCAACUUUUAAGAUGGAUUACCAAAUGUCAUAUGUGGGGAGUAGAAAAAGUGUGGAGAGCAGAGGUGGAAAAAAAAGUUUUGCCUUUGCCAAGUGCCUACACAAACACUCAACAAACUUUGCGGAGUGCCUAUUGAAAACACUCAGCGAACUUCUGAGUUUGCCGAGUGUCUGGAGGGAGCACUCGGCAACCUACUUAUUUGCCGAGUGUCCGCGUCGGACACUCAGCAAAGUACUAACGGCUGGCACACUCCCCUAACGGACGGCGCACGUGCAAGCCAUGUGCUGGAGAUUUAUCGAGUGUCAAAUCGUUGCCGAGUGUCGUGUGGAUGUUUGCCGAGUGUCUUAUUUGUGACACUCGGCAAAGCUAUUGUUUGCCGAGUGUAUUAUUUAUGCCGAGUGUCUUCCAGUAUACACUCGGCAAAUGAUGUCUUUGCCGAGUGCUCGACAUAAAGCACUCGGCAAAAAUUUUACACUCGGCAACAUUCCUGUUUCCGGUAGUGAGUGACCCGGGACUAAAGACCCCCGUUGUCUCUGAUUGCUUUAUUCCGGAUGGAUUUUCAGGAGAUUUGCUCCCUACCAAUAGGGACUAAAGGCAAGUUUUCCACUUAUAGCAAACCAGUUAGCCCAUUGUUGAUGGAACGCAUCACUAGAAACAGCUCGGGAUCCACUUGUCCAAUAAUCGAGAGGGCCUAUAUAUGGACCACGUGUGCGGAUCCCUAAUUAGGAAAAAAGAAUAAUGGAGUAGGACAUCUCCAUGCUCACCUAGUAGCCGCUGCUAGCUUGUGCGUGUGGAACACGAGUGCCGGCCCAGUUGGCGCUAAGACAUCGUACGUGCAUUAAGGCUACGAUCUCUUUCUUCUAACUCAUGCUUGUGCUAUUAUACAUUAUUGCAUGAUCAUCAAGAUAAGAUCGUAUAGUGACUGAGUGAGACAUGUAUGUACUAACAUGCAUUUAAGCCUCGAACUGUGUGUUGUUACGUGAGCUGCCUCCUCACCUCGCCUCUGAAUUAUUGAACCGUUUCCAACAGUGUUGGUCUCAAAUAAAUUUGACACCAAACAGAUUUAUGAAGAAGAGAGAAUAAUACUUGGAAUUGGAAAAAGUUUAUCUCUCUUUACAAUGGAGUAGGGCUCCCUUUUAUAGUGACCCAUAAGCCACUUUACAUUUGGAAAAUGUCCUUCCUCAACCACUACAUUAAUUCCUAGGAUAUGCUGUACAUAAAGGUCAUUUGAGGUAACGUGUACAAAUGAACUCUUCCACAUGGUCACGUUUCUCAUGCCUCCUGUUUUCCAACCUCGAGACAUCAUCUUCACGCCAAGUUGAUCAUCUAGCCUCGAGGCUCCAUCCACGAUCCAGAAUGAACGUCCAGGCUUGAGGCUCCUUCUUCGUUAAGCUUUGUUGAGAACUCAUAACCUCACAUAGUUCUCCUCCGAGUAUUGUUCCCGACUCAGAACACUCGAGGUUUAGCUCAGUUGGAGUUUAGCUAUUACUGUUGCUAGUCACCAGCCUCGAGCCCCUCCAGAAGCAAGGUGAUGCGAGGGUACGAGUUUUACUAUUAAAGGUGUUUCCAUAGAAUGUGCGAGGUUAAAGCACUUGCAGCAAAAGCGUGGAGCUGCUUUCAACCAGAGUGCAAUAAUGCAGCCGUGCCCAUCUUGGUCUUGGUCUCCGCCUGAACUAUAGCAGAUGCUGGCAGCGGUAGCAGGGUGGUCCAUUAUAUCUAUGGAUGGCAAUGGUCGGAUUCGGAUGGAAUCGAAUUCGAAUAGCACUUUUUACCACAUACUAAUUCAAAUCCGAAUUCGGAUUCGGAUGUUCUCGAAUGCGAAUGCAAAAUGGAUGGUUCGAAUUCGAAUACUUAGCGGAUUUUUGCAUAAUAUUAAUCGAAUAGAAUUCAUUAAAUUUAGCCAAGAAAUUAAAUUUUCUGAAAUUAAAUACUUUCCCUUCGCCCCAGCGGCGGCCUAACUCCCAGGACGGUGGCGUGCGGGGCCCGAGCAUCCCUGGCCUCUAGUGGCGUGGCGGGGCGGCAUCCAGCAGCAGCGGCGGGGCUCGGCCUCCGGUGGCGCGCGGCCAGCCCGACCUACCCGGUCAGAGGUGGCGCAGCGGUGCGCGGGCCUCCCCGACCAGAGCCGGUGGGGAGCGGUGCGCGGGGAGGACCUCCCCAGCCGGAGGUAGCAGGGCGCGACCUCCCCGGCCGGAGGUGGCUCCCUGUGGGGGCGCGGCCGUGACAGCUAGCGAGGCAAUAAUUGCUUCCGUACGCAGCAAUAAUUGCUUGUGCGACACCGUGUUAUUACUCUGGUACAGUACUCCCUCCGUUGCAGUACACUGGUCCAGGCGUCAGGACACUGCUCCUGCCCUCGUGGUUCACGUGCAUCAGGCCAGCAGACAAGCUAUGAUGUUGCCAACAGUGUUUGUUUGAACAUGGAGAUGUCAUUGUGAUUGUCAGGGACCCGACACCAUGCAUGCCGAUUUCAUAUUCUUAAUAUUUAUUUUUUUAAUGGUUGUUGAAACUAUAUAGUUACUCCAAUAUCACGUUUCCGAUUAUAAAAAUUAACAUAAAGAGAUCGGAAGGGAGAGCCCGCAUAAUGAAGCCGACGCGUAUAAUAAGCACUAGAGCCGGCAUUUAUACAAACGGGUACGCAUAGUAAAAACUAGAAUUUAUAAAUAAAUGAAGAUAUUCAAAUAUCUGGCUUACUUUUUUCAUUAAUUUUGCAUGAAUAAGGGAUGAUUCAUUAAUCAUUAUUGAACAAAUUGGCACACAUGCUUCGUGCCCGCGUUGUGAGCAUUAUGCGAUGCCACUGAGCUGCACCACCACGGUAGAGGGCCUGUUUGCGAUGCCACCGAGCUGCACCACCACGGCAGAGGGUCUGUUUGGGAAGGGGAAGUUAAAGUUUAACACCCCCCAUUUAACACCUUUUUAACAAAAUGGCUGCUAAACACUUGUGUUAAAAGAGUAGUGUUAAAAUUUAACACCUCUCUUUUCAUAAACACAUGGAGGGGGUGUUAAAAUUUGCUAAAUGUGUUAAAAGUGGUCCCCUCCCCACUUAUUCCUUGGUUGCCCCCCUCUCUCUCCUCCUCUCUCUCCUACCCGCCGCAUUUAAGAGCAUUAUUGAGGGGUAAUGCAGUCCUUUUCCAACAAAAGUGUUAAACUUUAACAACCCUUCCCAAACAUGCCACAAGCAACACCACCGGCUGACUGUGCUAGCGGGGAGCACCCUCACCGCCUGCCCGUGGGGACUUCUUCUGCCGGCCAUCGUGUCUUUGUAGGACCGCCGCGUGAGCCUAUGAGCCACCGGUGGCCGUGCGCCCAAGGGCCAUCACCAUGCCACCUGAGGAUGCUGUCUACCCGGUGCCGCGUGCCUCUGCUAGCUGCUUGCACCUGGGCCGCCGCUGGUCGCCUGCACAGCCACGCGUUACAGCCGCCCCCCUGCGCUGGGCCACCCCAUUUCGUGUUGGAAGAACUGCCACAGUCUCGCGCACUGGGGUUUUGCUAGUGACGACCAUAGCCUCCAAGAUCAAAUGAAAAAGUUGGUACUCAAAACAUACAUCCAUUAAUCUAGUCGUGCUAAUCCUUACCACCAAAUAAAAACUAGCAUGUGUUGUGUUUUUGUGACCCUAAACGAUCACAAAUGAAUAACUUAUGGGCGUUGCUAGCCUAUAAGUUAUGGGCGUUUGUGACCCUAGUCGCGCCGGGGUCUUGCUGGUGACAACCAUGGUCUUCGCGAUAAAGUAUUAAGUCUCAUCGAGUUCUACAAUUUUGAUAUAAAAUUUCUAUUCAUCCGAGAUCAAAUGAAAAACAAAUGAAAAAAUCCGAAGUAUUAGGCUUCAUCGAGCUCUACAAUUUUGAUAUAAAAUUUCUAUUCAUCCGAGAUCAAAUGAAAAAAUCCGAGAUCAAAUGAAAAGUUGGAACUCAAAACAUACAUCCAUUAAUCUUGAUAUAAAAUUUCUAUUCAUCCGACAUCAAAUGAAAAAGUUGGUACUCAAAAUAUACAUCCUUUAAUCUAGUCGUGCUAAUCCUUACCACCAAAUAAAAAAACUAGCAUGUGUUGUGUGUUUCUGACCGUAAACGAUCACAAAUGAAUAACUUAUGGGUGUUGCUAGCGUCCCGGACGCUAGCAUCGGACGCAUGAGCAGCCGUCCGAUCGGGUCCGACACCACUUCACGAUCUGUCUUAAAAAAAAGUCCCACCGAAACAUUGUUCCAUGUUGCAUGAAAUACCCCACUAUCCAUCGCCAGGUCUACAGCAAGCACCACCUUCCAAUCUGCUGCUCACCCAAGCUAAAUAGGGGCAUUAAAAUUGCAGAAAUAUGUCACAUAUCCUUGUCAAAUUAAACUAAAUCGCAACAUCCGAAAAUUUCUUACACAAAACCAUGAAACAUAUCGAUUAGAUAGGUGUAACAAGAUGGAAUAUGGUAUCCAACAUAUAGAUUCCGAAAAACAGAUGAAACAUUAUGUAACGAUUGUUGAAACAGUCGAGAAAUAUAGAUGUAACGAUUAAAAUUUAGAAAAGAAGCUUUAUGCAAAUUGCAAAAAGCUGAAAUAAGUGGUUGAAACAUUUCGAAUCACCAAAUGCCACAUUUGAAAUGGCUACAUGAAACAUCACGAAAUCAAUUGCAACAGUUGAAGAUGAAAACAUUCAAAUGCCUUGCCUUUCUCCAGAUUUGACCCUCCAAGCAUGAGUCCAGCCAUUUGCACAUUAGACCCUUGGGAGGAGCUCACCGGAGAACAACAAGACCGUGUUCUCCAACAAUUUUCUGAUCAAAUUGCAACAGACAAAACAAAGCAUUGCAACAUCUGGCAUCACGAGCUACAACAUCAACAAGUUAGGAUCAGGAGAAAGAGGGAAAACACAAGCCUAACAACCCCAAGACAAAACUGAUGUACUCAUCAUACAUCACGGCUUGCCGUGCACAGAGAUGAAGGCCGCCAAGCUCAAUCGAGACAGAGACGACGUGAUAGUGCUCCAGAUCGACGGUCCCCAUCAAUUGUUGCGUACACUGCCAAAAGCAAUGGAAGAAGAAGGGUCGUCCCUGCUCGACCUCCGUAGAUGAGCGCAGAUUGGGGGAAACCGUAUAGAGUGCCGCUGACAGCACAGGCGAGGGGGCUCAGGCUUGAUUCAGGGUGAGGGUAGCGGGUAGCAUGAGGAGACAGUCAGGUUUCAUAGGAGAGAGGCGGAGUAGAGAGCUCUGGUGACUCGGUGAGGAGGGUGCGGCACGGAGAAAGGUGUGUAGCUGAAGGAGCUACAUGGUUGGGGCGAGGCGAGCGUAGAGACUAGAGAGGGAAAAAAAGCAUGGGGAGGAGACGAUAUGUGGUUGAUGGUGCGGGCACGUGGUGAGCGCACCGUAUGAAAAUUUUGCUCGCGUCGGAUGACUGAUGUGAAGCAUUACCCAAUCUUAAUUAUCUCCCAUAAUCCAAAACUCACAAAAACAUCAAAAAUCCGCCGAGAAUAAAUUAAGUAAACCAUGCACACACAGAUAAUAAAAUUGCUAAUAAGGCCAGAGAUAAUACAUGAACAUAUUAGACUGUUCAUGACACAUAUCACGGUGGAUAGUGUCUGUGUCCUUAUUACAAGCAAUGAGAGAUGCUUGUCACCACACACACGCGCACAGAUGCAUGACAUACAUAUAGUUGAGACCAACAGAUGGAUCAACUAGAGGUCACCCCAUAUGGUGAACAAUUUAUUGGAGAUAAACAUUAACAUAACUUGGCCAUAGCUUGAAGCAUAGCAACAUAUGCCUAUGAAUGGCGUUCAUGCUAUCGUUUUAGGCUUGUCCAGCUUCUUUCAUCUUAGCAAGCACUUCCAUUUCUACCAUCUUAGCAGCAACUGUCAAAUUGAGAUAUGGAAAUCCCAUUAGCGCAUGAUUAAUUUUGCAGUGGAAAUAGAGUGCAAGAUAUCUUCAUGAUGUAAAUAACAUGCCUGAAGUUGUGAGAUGGGAAGUGAAGUCAACAAAUUACAUUAACGGAAAUGCAUGGAAGGCCACACAUACGUAUUAGUCCAUAAUACGCUACAAAGCUUGUAUGUACAUAUAGCAAAUUAAAUGCAUUAAUUGAAUAGAGUGAGUUUAGUGAAUUUACCAGAAUCGUCCAGAAAACAUGGGAAACAGCAAGUGUGCUUGCAGACUGUGUCGGAGCCACCCACACGAAUACAAAGCUGACAACAUGCUUGUGCCUCGUGGGAUACGCAGCAGCCGCACUGUGCCGCGGUGGCCGAGUUAACAUUGAGGCUCAAGAUGAACAGGCACAUGAUCACCAUCAAAGUGGUAGUCCUCUUUCCCUCCAUUGCCUCCUGUCGCUGCUACCUUCCUUGGUUACUAGUAAGUUUAUUGGUUUUGUGUUGAGAGGUGAUUCUUGCAUUGAAUGGACGUUGCCGCGGCUGCAAUUUAUAGGCAGCUGCGCUAUGUGAUGAUAUGGACAAGGUGCAAAUGGGUGGUCCUGAUAU